rnacentral:lncRNA from 1 species
GAUGGAAGGAUGCUUCGUAGUUAGAGACGGUAACAGCGCGACGGUGAUUUGGGGUUACAUGUAUAAGAAGGGGUGGCAACCUGAUGUUAUAUCGUACAAUAUUAUGCUGUCAGGGCUGUGUAUGUGCGGCAGAGUUGGGCACGCUAUUGAGUUCUUUGAUGAUGCUCGAAGCCAUGGCAUUGCCCCAACCGUUGUCACAUGGGACAUACUCGUUAGAGCUGUGGUGAAUUGCUAACGUAAUGAAUGUUGAAGGGGUUGUUGCAUAGUUUGGCUCUGGAUUUGAUCUCUAGACCAGCUCAGCUAGCUUUUGGUUUCUGGAGGUUGAGUUGUGAUGUAUGUUUGCUUGGAAGUGACAUGAGGUAAAUCACAGUAAGUCGAUAGUGUACUAUACUUAUGGAUUAUACAUACAUCACAAGCAUUUGGGUGAAGACUCACAUUGGUUUGGAUGAUAUGAGUAAACUUCAUGGAGAUCUGAUACUUUGGAUAAUACAUAUACAUUCACAAGCAUUUGGGUGACUCGCAUUGGUUUUGAAUGAUUUUGAGUUAACAUCAUCGAGAUCUGAUGCAAAAGAGAAACUGUAGCUUUAUGUAUCAAACCAAAAGUGAUAAAUUUCCCACUUUGGGUCUAUACUAUCUUUUCAUAUUGAUUUGUUUCGACGGAUACAGAGUCAAAUGCAAGAGGCUAUGUAAAUAUGUCAAUUCAUCGGCAUUAGUUCCUGGAAACCAUACUUGGGAACUUAUUAGCAACAGCUCCAUGUACAAGUUACAAAAAAAAAACAAAGUGAUGAUGCAAGGCCUCUUUUUAUAGAGUUGGCAGCUAAAUUUUGUAAUGGAGGUAAAACGAGAUACCAUGAUGACGCUAAGGCUGCUCUUAUUAAAAGAUUUCACUCAAAGAAUCACUCUGUCAACGAGUAAAGAACCAAGAAAUGUAACAAGAACUCCCUCCAAACACCAUUUCUGCAUAAACUACUAGGAGCUUUUUCUUUCACAACCAUUCUAAAAACUUAUAUAAAAGGCUAAGUAAGAAUCUUUUUUAUGUAUCAGUUCAGGUUUUUGGUUCCAACCAAAAAAUUGGCUUUCGAAGGGUCGGGUUGUCUUUUUUUUUUGUCACAGAAUUUUUUUAUUAAAAUAGAAAGAGGAGAAGAGAUCCAAAACGAUGGCCCAACCUCAAAGAGUUCAGUACAAAGAAGAAAAGACCUCUAAGGCCUGUUUAGCUAAAUUGUAGGCAAACAAGUUUUCCGAUCUAAAAAAGCGAGAAAACAUGAUUGUUGCAAAACUAGAAGAGAUCGAACGAUAGUCUGAAAUGAUUCCGAUGAUUUCUUUACUUCCAGUUGUCGGAAAUAGCUCUGAUGAGCGUUGAAUUGUUGGAGAAGACCAUGAGUGACGAAAACUCAAGAGACUUCGCCAUGCAUAGAGCCCUGCAAUUUGAACCACCGAACAUGAUUCCCCAAUGAUAAAGAUUGUCUAUAAUAAACAUCAACAGAACACAAGUUUCGCUACUUGGGAAGAUCUGAAACUUGUUGAACGAGACAGAACCAUGCACAACUAUAGACUCAUUGGAAUUGGGAAACAACCAUAGAGAUCCUCAUUGCCAAAAGAAAUGUUUAGCGCAAAAUCAAUUACAAUGCUUGUGAAUCCAAGAAAGAUUUUUCUGCAGAUCGUUCUAAGUUUUUAAAUCACAACAGUUUCAGCUGGUGGUUACUAUCCAUUCAUAAUUAAUGGUUCAGUUACGCUCUAGGGUACGAGGACAAAGGCGGCUCCAGUUCUUGUCGUGCCUACAAGUUCUUGAGGUAUAUAGAUCACUGCGUUGACAUGCGGUCAAAGACCACUUUUUAUGGUACGAGAUUUACGAUUUCGAGUCUAGUUAGUGAAAGAGUCUAGAUGUUACUCCACACUAGGUUAUAAAUUUUCAUCAGCGUGGCGUGUCUCUCAAGGUAAACACUUACUGGCCUGCUUCACCAAGGAACAUAUAUCGAGAAGAAAAUCACAUAAUCUGUUUCGAUAUUACAAGCGAGAGUUUUGGUCCUCUUAUGCGUCUGCCGUUUGACGCUGCUUAUCAUAACCCUGUGACUUUAUCAUGUGUUCGAGAAGAGAAGCUUGCGGUUUUAUUCAGUCACGACGAAGCAGGUUCAGAGGAGUUUGAGAUGUGGAUUACUACUAAGAUUGAGGCUGAAGAGGUGUCGCGGAGCAAGUUCUUGAGAGUGAUUAACCCUCUGAUUUCAUGUAAUUGUUUCUUCAUUGACGAGGAGAAGAAAGUCGCCAUGGGUUUUGACGAGGUACACUCCAAAACGUUUAACAUCGUUGGAGAGGCUGGAUGCUUUAAAAAGCUGGAACUCGAAGAAUGUUUAGGCAGAGACGUAGACUGGAUGACGAGUGCAUGCUCUUAUGUUCGAAGCCUAGUUAACGUCAAGCAACCUGCUGCAGUAGAAGGUAAAAGGAAGCAACAAAGCGAGUUUGAAAAGCAACGGUAUGAUCAAAACAUGGGGAGAAUUGUUGGACUUAAAAGCGUAGUAGGGUUUGGCAAGCUGUAAGAGGAAGGCAAAGGAGGAAAAAGCGACAUGCUGGCCUUGAUUGGUAAAGCAUUAGCAUUAUGCUCUACAUUAUCCAAUCAACAAUUGUUAGAAAAAUAUUUAGAGAACCAUUUACUAAAUGCUAAUGCUCUCUAAAUGCUUUCUGACCAAUGCUUUCAUAUGAAACUAUAAAAAAAGUAUUUGCAUUUAUAAUUUAUAAAAUUAAGAAAAAUAUAUAAUUAAUUCAUUUAUUUUAUUUAAUAAUAUCAGAAAAUUAUUUUUAUAUCUAAAAAAUUAAAAUUUUAUUUCUAAAAUUAUUUUACAAUAAAAAUAUUUUUUUUUUUAAAAAUAGUAUUUCACAUUUAAAAUAUAAUUUAAUUUAGAUAAUUUAAUUUAAUUUAUUUUAAAUGUGAAAUAUUAUUUUUAAAAAUAGAUAUUUUAAUUAUAAAAUUUAUUUUAAAAUAAUAUUUUCGAUAUAAGCAUAAUUUUAAAAUUAUUAAAUAAAAUAAAUUAAUUAUAUAUCUUUUAAUUUUUAUAUGUUAAUAUAACUAUAUAUAUAUAUAUAUUAGAAAUAUAUUCAUCACAAAUAAAUAUAUUAUAUAUUAUAUACUAAUUUUGAUAAUAAUUUUAAAUAACAUAUUCAUACUUCUACACCAAUCAUCUAAUUAAACAAUUUAGCAAAAGCAUAUAACUCUUGCAGCAUACUGCUACUGUUAAUGCUCUACCAAUCAAGGCCUGGUAUUUCAUUUACUCUCAGUUGUAGUUACAUGUAAACAUUACAUAAUUGUUUUCUUCUCUUUUUUUUUUCUGAUGAGUUUUGGGUUUAAUAAUCGUAUCUUGUUAUUUAGGUUUUGAAGGUUCCUUAUAUAUUUGUCAAAAAGAAAUAUAUAUAUAUAACAAUUACACUUUAACAACUUAAACUUAAAAAUAAACCGAUUUUAAACCCAAAAUAAACUGCUUACAGAUUUAUUAUUUGAUGGUAAUUAACAAAACCAACGAUAGCUUUUGUUAUCCAAAUAACUGAAUAAGGCUAACAAAACCUAUGGUAAACAACAAACCGGGAACACAUGUUCAAUCAUCAGAUUUUUUUUAAAAAAGCAAGAGAAAGCAAGUCUACAAGUUAAGUUAAAAGGUCUCGGUUUCGAGCAACAGGAGUGGCGUGAACUGGAUGAGCCCUUCUCAAAGAAACUGCACCAGCAGCUUCAUCCAUAUUAACUUUCUCUUCCUUGAUUCUCCAAUCAAAACACUGCACCAUCACUCCAACAGCUAUUCCUAGGAAGAGAUAUGCUAGGUUUGAUCCAGGACAACCUCUCCUUCCACUUCCGAAAGGAAUGUACUUGGGAACCUUCUCCCUAAUCUUGUCCUCUUGUUGUCCGGAUGUUGAUGAAACCAAGAACCUCUCUGGCUUAAACUCAUCAGGAUCUUCCCAGACAUCAGGAUCUCUCAUUACAGCAUAACCAUUGACAACAAGUGUUGUCUUCUCCGGUAUGUGGAACCCCUUAACCUCACACUCUUCUUGGAAAGUUCUUACCACAAGAGGCACCGGUGGGUGCAAUCUCAGCCCUUCCUUCAUGACUGCUUGCAAGUAAGGAAGGUUUGGUAGAUCAGUUUCUUGAAUCAACCUUGUUUUCCCUAUAACCAAAUCGAUUUCUCCUCUUAAUCUCUCAAGAGUCUUGGGAUUGUUUAUGAGCUCCGCCAUGGUCCAUUCUAUAAUGUUGGACGUAGUUUCACUGCCUGCAAUGAAAAGAUCCUGUUCGUAGUAGUAGCAAACAUAUCUUAGUCAGGAGUGAGUGAUACAAUGCAAUUAAAAAGAGAGGAACAUGCAUUUACCACUAACAAGGACUUGAUAUGGUUCCUAGUGAUCUUAUACUCUGCGUUUUCGUCUCUAUAUGCUUCUAUCAACACAUCCAUCACAUCCACACCUUGCUCCGAGUGGCGGAUCUAGAAAUUGUUUUUAUCCGAGGAAAAAAUGAAAACUAUUAACAUAAACAUAAUAUAUGAAUAAGGGCAUCACUCAACUUUUAUAAGAAUUACACCAAAUUUAAAAAUGUUAUGGUGGGCAACUGCCCUACCUUUACUCCAUGUAGCAUUGUCUCUGCUUGCUCCUCCUGUUUCUUUUCGUGUUCCACAAGGUACCUCUCUAGUACCUCAUCGAACCUGCUGGAAACACACAUUAGCUCCUUUUUAAAAAGUGAGAUCCCAAGCUUCUCAAGCGGUCUGCGCAAGACAGACGCCAAGAGAAGUUUCUUCGACAAGGAAUCUGUCCUGGCCACUAAGCCUCUGACUCUCUCCGCAUCCUCUAAACAAAUCCUCCUCGUGAGUAUCUUGCACAUGCUGUUGUUAGUUAGUUUCAUCGCUUCUUCACGUAUAUUAACCCUCUCAUCCUUCAUCGCCUUGUCUAGGAGGUUAGAGUAAAACAGCUUUGCCUCAUCAGCACGGAUGCCUCGUGACCUCUCGAGUGCCUGUGAUCCGAGGAGCUUGGUGGUGAUGAGCUUCUUCAUAAAUUUCCAGUAAUCUCCAUGAGGCGCGGUAACAAAGCCAAAAGAUCCAAAGUAGAGGGAGCCCUCGCUAGUAGGGAGGCUGCUGCGAGAGGAGACGUUCACGUCUUGAGCUUUGAAGAUCUCGUCAGCCACUGAAGCAGAGGAGACGAGGACUAUAGGGAGGCUGAAGAUGCGGAGAUGGAGGAGAGGUCCGUGCUUAGAUGCGAGUUUCUGUAAAGAUUUGUGGAUUAGAAGAGAGAGGAUGAUGUGAAGGUGGCCAAUGAUUGGUAGAGAAGGAGGGCUUGGAGGCAGAUCAAAGCCAAGUCGUGAGUCCUUUUGUUUCCUGAAGAAGAGAGUGUAACAGAGGAGUGAGAAGAGGCAUAGAAGGAUAAAGAUGAAGUAGUUUUGAAAGUCAACUAUCAUCAUUGCUGCCAUUGUUGCUCAAAGUGAGAAACCAGAUGAAGAAAGAGUAUCUAAUCAAAUCACAAACAAGAUGCGACAACCCCAUAAUCUCAAGUAAAUAAAGAAAAUACUUCUAUUUUAAGCAUGUCCAUUUUCCAAUGUGACAGCCAAAGAGAUACUUCUGUCACUAAUCAUUUUUCUGUCAACUUCUGAAUUUUAUUAAUUCGAUGAAGAAGAGUACAAGUAUAAGAUAACUAGAUAAGAUAUGUUACAAUAUGUGUAAGCUAACUAGACCUUUAUAAAAAAAAAUGUGUAAGCUAACUAGAGAACAACAACCACGUGGCAAAAUAUAUCAUGCAAAGUGAACACUGGUAGCUUCACCACCACCGCCACCGCCGUGUUAGCUCCAUCUUCUCUUACACAAUGCUGCUACCUUCAUGGUCAGUUGAUCUAUAUUACCAUGUCACGUUGAUUUAUUUCGACUGAUACAGAAGCCAAUUCUCAGCAUCUCUCAUUCAUUCCUUCAUGUUUCCUUUAAUUACCCUUAUUAGCUUCUUCUAAUAACAAUGCCUGCUCGGUAUACUCUCCUUAAACUGCGAGAACGACUUACAAUCUUAUUAACUGAUACCAACCCUUGACCUUUCUCCGUCGAAAUCCUUCAUGCUUUCAUGGCAUCUUUGAAAUCAAUGUCCUAAAAUGUCUUUUUUUAACAAAGAAAAUUACUAUCAAGUACCCAUUAUAUAUUUAUUAUAAGAGAUGUUAUUAUCAAUACUGUUAUUUGCAAAGUAAUUUUUCGUAAAAAAACUCUCACGUUUAAAAGUUAGAGUGAUUAAUAUCAUUGAUAUUUUAAUAAAAUUAUAUAUAUAUUUUUUUUAUUAUAUAAUUAAAAACGAAUUUAUAUUAAUAAUUUCAUAUUUUUGUAAAAAAAGAUAAUUCUUAUAUAUUGUGUUGUUAUCUUAAAAUAAUAUUUAUUUAUUAUAAAAAUUUAGAAUUAAAAUAUACAACAAUUUAUAAUCAAAUAUUAAUCAAGUAAAACUAUUUGCAUAAAUAUAAUUUUCUAAAAUAUUUUUAAUACUUGAGCGUUUUAAUGAAAAACUUUAUCAAAUAUAAAUAAUUUGAUUUUUGAUUUUUUUUUGAAGACAUAAAUAAUAACUUAUCGUACUGGUUUGGUUUAAACAAUAAAUAUUCAUACAAAAUUAUACCGCAUAUGCGGACAAAACACCUACUUAUCAUGUUUAAUACAUGAUUUAAUAUUAUUUUUUUACUGUCAUAUGUCACAGUUAUGUUACUUAGCAAUAUUUUACUUUGGUUUAUUAUUUUUAAAAUAGAAAAUGACUAUAAAAAUAAAAUAUAUAUUUAUAAAAACAUUUUUUAAUUAUUUUGGUUUAAGAUUUUUUUAAAAAUAUUAUUAAAUAACUACACUUAUAAGGAGGAAAUAAUUAUUUAUUUUGGAUUAAUAUUUUUCUAAAAAAAGAAAUUAUUAUUAAAUAGAAAAAUUAUCAUUAACUAUAAAUGUUUAAUAUGUGUUUCAAAAAAAUAUAUAUAUAUAUAUAUAUAAAUGUUUAAUAAGAAUUUUUUCAAGGCAUGUCACAAUCUUAAAAAAGGUUAUUAACAUAUAUAUGUCUUUCAUCAUCGUAAUUGUUAACUUUUAAAAACUAAAGCUUUAUAUAACAAGAAAAACUCAUGUAGGGUUUGGUUUCCUAGUCUUCAACUGUUAUAUUCAAUAUACGUAAAGAUUCUGAGGCGCAAGGCAUAAAAGAGAGAGACAGAAAAAAACUAGUACCAGAUUGAAAUAAUGACGAAAAUCUCCGAUCUUCCGGUAAAUUUGGUAGAGGAGAUUCUCUCAAAGGUUCCCUUGAAAUAUAUGAGAGCAGUGCGAUUAACUUGCAAAGAGUGGGACACUUUAUCCAAGAGUCGAAGCUUUUCAAAGAUGCACAUUGAUAAAAUAAGCGCAGGCGAGUCUAUGAUGGUCGUUGUGUUGAUGCGUUACAAUCUAUAUCUCAUGAAUGUUGUUCUCGUCGUUAAUGAAGAUCCACUUAUAGAGUGUAAAGGUCAACUUACUUGCCUAGACAAACAAAAUUAUAAGAUAUCUCAUGUUUUCCACUGCGACGGUUUAUUGUUAUGCGUCUUGAAAGAUGAUUAUACCAAAGUCAUCGUUUGGAAUCCGUAUUGGGGUCAAACAAGGUCGAUAGAAUGUAGAUAUUCUGUCGGACCAAACAGAUGGUUCUGGUUCAGUUACGCUCUAGGGUACGAGGACAAAGGUGGCUCAUCUUGUCGCGCCUACAAGUUCUUGAGGUUUAUAGAUCAGUUUGUUGGCUAUGAAGACAACUUCAUAUGGUACGAGAUUUACGAUUUCGAGUCUAGUUCAUGGAAGACUCUUGAUGUUAUAACUCCACACUGGCGUAUAAACCUUUAUGAGCGUGGCGUGUCUCUCAAGGGAAAUACUUACUGGCUUGCUUCACCAAGGAACACAUACGAAGGGCUUGACAAUCACAUAAUCUGUUUCGAUUUUACAAGUGAGAGUUUUGGUCCUCUUCUGCGUCUGCCGUUUGACGCUGGUGAUGAUGCCACUGUGACUUUAUCAUGUGUUAGAGAAGAGAAGCUUGCGGUUUUAUUCACUCACUACGAAUUAGAAGGUCCACUGGAGUUUGAGAUAUGGAUUAGUACUAAGAUUGAGGCCGAAAAGGUGUCGUGGAGCAAGUUCUUGAGAGUGGUGGACGCGGAAUUUGAGCCUCUGAUUUCAUAUGAUUGUUUCUUCAUUGACGAGGAGAAGAAAGUCGCCAUGAGUUUUGAAGAUGCCUACCCCACAAAAUUUAACAUUGUUGGAGAGGCUGGAUACUUUAAGAAGCUUGAACUCGAAGAACGUUUAGGCAGAGACAUAAAGUGGAUGCAACAUGCGUGCUCUUAUGUUCGAAGCCUAGCUGAUAUCAAGCAACCUGCUGCUGCUGGAGGUAAAAGGAAACAACAAAGCGAGUUGGAAAAGCAACGAUAUGAUCAAAACAUGGCGAGACUUGCUGCACUUAAAAAGCUUAGCAGGGCUUGGCAACAGGAGAAUAAAGGAGAUAACAUACGUUUUCACUUUUUAUGUUUUGUUAUUCUUAUUAGAGACCAUAAACUUAUCUUACUAUUUAACAUUUUUUCAAUGUUUGUUUCACUUUAAUUGUGAUAUUAAGUAGAAUGAAGUAACACAAAUCAUGAUUUAAUUAUUUUUUGGUCUUAUAUGUUUGUUUCUAGAAGUCAUUGGAAUUUUUCAAAGCAAGUCAAUAGUGUACUAUACAUAUUGAUUAUACAUAUCACAAGCAUUUGGGUGACUCACAUUAGUUUGAACGAUAUGAGUAAACACCAUCAAGAUCUGCUACAUUGGAUCAAACAUACAUCACAAGCGUUUGGGUGGCACGCAUUGGUCUGAAUGAUUUUGAGUAAACAUCAUCGAGAUAUAUAUUAUAUUCAAUGAUAUAUCGAACUACGAGAACCCUUGAGCUUGCUUUGUCUUGGCCUUUCACGGCGUCUUUGAAAUCAAUAUGCUAAAAAUCUGUUUAGAUGGCACAUAGAAUUUUUCUAAUUUCUCUAACUUCGCUCUAUAAUUUACUUUAAAAUUUUAAAAAAUACUCAAUUCUAUUUUAUUUUUCACUCCAUAGUGGAAUACAAAGUGAAUCAAUUCCGAAUGAUUUUAUUUUAUUUUGUUCAUUAUUCCAUUUUUACUCGAGAAUGUUAUAGAGUUGAAGCAAACCCAACUUCAUUAUAAAAUUACUCCCUUGUAAAAGAAAAAACUGAAAACAAAUAGAUCAUAAACAAACAAUUAAUCCUCUAUAAAGCUCUUAAUUAUACACACAUUUGAAAUUAUAUUAACCUGCGGGUUUCCAGGUCGACCCAAAAAGGUUAGUUAUUUUUGCCGCUAAAAGGUUUGAAACUCGACACGGUUCUUUGGCCUUAGUUUACUUACGACGAAUCUUUUCCUUUGGAUGCUUUUUCUGUUUUUUACAUGAUUAAUAAUAGCAGUUGAGACCUAAGCUCAACCUCCGGUUCGUACAUUGUCGGACUGUUGUCUCAAAAUCAUGAACUUUCGAGUUCUCUUGCCGCCAUCCUCCCCCAAGUUCGAUUCUUUCUCCUUGCUACGUCGUUUGAGUUUCUCCACGGACUUGAGUCUUCGGAUCAUUAAACAAGUUCCCCCCAACCACGAUCAGAUAUAUAACAGUCUCCUCGAAAUAUGUUUGGACCAGUGCAAAUUAUUCAAAACCCGCAAGGUGUUCGACGAAAUGCCUCAGAGACUUUUACACGUCUCGAGAAUCGGCAAAGCUGUACAUUCCAGGAGCUUGACGCUCGGAAUCGAUCCAAAAGGGAGAUUAAGCAACGCCGUCGUUGAUUUAUACGCCAAGUGUAAAUCAAUAGCUUAUGCUGAGAAGGUUUUCGAGUCUCUUGAGAAGGAUGUAACGGCUUGGAACUCGAUGCUAUCGAUGUAUUCGAGCAUUGGGCUACCUGGAAAGGUCUUGAGGAGUUUUGUGUCGUUGUUUGAGGGUUUGGUUUUUCCGAAUAAGUUCACUUUUUCGAUUGUUUUAUCGACAUGUGCCAGGGAGAGUAAUGUAACGUUUGGUAGGCAGAUUCAUUGCUGUAUGGUGAAGACGGGUUUUGAAAGGAACUCGUAUUGUGGAGGGGCUUUGGUUGAUAUGUAUGCUAAGUGUGACUGCAUAGGUGAUGCUCGGCGAGUUUUCGAUGGGGUAGUGGAUCCCAAUACAGUUUGCUGGACGUGUUUGUUUUCUGGCUAUGUCAAAGCUGGUUUGCCAGAGGAAGCUGUUAUAGUUUUUGAGAAGAUGCGUGGUGAAGGACAUCGUCCUGACCAUCUAGCUUUCGUGACUGUUAUAAAUACUUACAUUAGUUUAGGGAAGCUGAAGGAUGCGCGUGUGUUGUUUGGAGAGAUGGCGAGCCCUGAUGUGGUGGCUUGGAAUGUAAUGAUCUCAGGGCAUGGGAAACGAGGGUGUGAGGAAGUAGCUGUUGAGUAUUUUCUCAGGAUGAGGAAGUCUGGUGUUAGAUCCACUCGUUCGACGCUGGGGAGUGUUUUAAGUGCAAUUGGGAUUGUAGCGAAUCUUGAGUUAGGUUUGGUGGUUCAUGCGGAGGCUAUUAAACAAGGGCUUGCGUGUAAUAUAUAUGUUGGGAGUUCUUUGGUUAGCAUGUACUCGAAGUGUGAGAGAAUGGAAGAUGCUGCGAAAGUGUUUGAGGGUUUGGAGGAGAGAAACGACGUCUUGUGGAAUGCUAUGAUAAGAGGUUAUGCGCAUAACGGAGAAGCUCAUAAGGUUAUGGAGCUGUUUAUGGAUAUGAGAGGCUCUGGUCAUAACGUUGAUGAUUUCACCUUUACAAGCCUGUUAAGUACUUGUGCUGCUUCGCAUGAUCUUGACAUGGGGAGCCAGUUUCAUUCGGUUAUCAUCAAGAAGAAAUUAGCGGAUAACUUAUUCGUGGGAAAUGCAUUGGUAGAUAUGUAUGCUAAAUGCGGAGGUGUUGAAGAUGCGAGGAAGGUUUUUGAGCGCAUGUGGGAACGUGAUAACGUAUCGUGGAACACGAUGAUUGGUGGUUAUGUCCAAGAUGAGAACGAGAGUGAGGCUUUCAACUUGUUCAAGAGGAUGAAUUCUUGCGGUAUGGUGUCUGAUGGAUCGUGUUUAGCUAGCACACUCAAGGCGUGUGCGAAUGUCCGUGGUCUUUAUCUAGGAAAACAAGCUCACUGCCUCUCUGUCAAGUUUGGCUUAGAGACAGAUCUUCAUGCUGGCAGCUCGCUGAUUGACAUGUAUGCCAAGUGUGGGGUCAUCGAAGACUCACGUAAAGUUUUCUCCUCUAUGCCUGAGUGGAGCGUUGUGUCGAUGAAUGCGUUAAUUGCAGGCUAUGCUCAGAACAACUUGGAAGAAGCUGUGGUUCUCUUUCGAGAGAUGGUGACCAGAGGUGUUAACCCAUCUGAAAUCACUUUUGCCACCAUAGUUGAAGCUUGUGAUAAACCAGAAACGUUGACCUUAGGAACACAGUUCCAUGGUCAAAUAAUAAAGAGAGGGGUCUCAUAUGAAGGUGAGUAUCUAGGGAUCUCUCUUUUGGGCUUGUACAUGAACUCAUGUAGAAUAGUGGAGGCGUGUGUUCUUUUCUCAGAGUUCCAAACCCCUAAGAGCAUUGUUCUUUGGACGGGGAUGAUGUCAGGGCAUAGUCAGAACGGUUUCUAUGAGGAAGCUUUGAAGUUCUACAAAGAAAUGCGUCGUGAUGAUGCUUUACCUGAUCAGGCAACAUUUGUCACUGUUCUUCGAGUGUGCUCUGUCCUUUCCUCUUUAAGAGAAGGUAGAGCGAUCCAUUCUCUCACCUUCCACUUGGCUCAUGACCUCGACGAGUUAACCUCUAACACGCUAAUAGACAUGUAUGCUAAAUGUGGGGACAUGAAAAGCUCAUCACAAGUUUUCGAUGAAAUGAAGCGUAGAAGCAACGUUGUCUCAUGGAACUCCAUCAUCAAUGGAUAUGCUAAAAAUGGUUACGCUGAAGAUGCCCUUAGGAUGUUUGAUUCCAUGAGACAAUCUCGUAUCACGCCAGAUGAAAUCACAUUCCUAGGUGUUCUCACAGCUUGUAGCCACGCAGGGAAAGUGUCAGAAGGGCGGAAGAUUUUUGAGAUGAUGAUUAGUCAAUAUGGUGUUGAAGCGCGUGUAGAUCAUGUAGCUUGUAUGGUUGAUCUUCUUGGAAGAUGGGGUUAUCUUGAAGAAGCUGAUAACUUCAUAAAAGCACAAAACCUGAAACCAGAUGCGAGACUAUGGUCAUCGCUCCUUGGUGCAUGUAGUAUCCAUGGAGAUGACAUUAGAGGGGAAAUGGCUGCUGAGAAGCUCAUUGAACUUGAACCACAAAACUCGUCAGCUUAUGUUCUUCUUUCGAACAUAUAUGCCUCACAGGGACGUUGGGAGAAGGUCAACGCUUUGAGGAAAGACAUGAAAGACAGAGGAGUCAGUAAGGUACCUGGAUGUAGUUGGAUUGAUGUGGGAGAGAGAAAACACGUUUUUGGUGCAGGAGACAAAUCUCAUUCUGAUAUUUGCAAAAUAGAGACGUUUCUUGAAGAUAUAUAUGAUCUGGUGAAAGAUGAUGCAGUCGUCAAUCAUGAUAUCAUGGAACAUGCUUCUCAUGAUUGUAUCUAAUAACAGGGGAUAUUGUACAAAGCUAAACAUCAGCAGAUCAAUUCAUUGAAUCGGUUACUCAAUUAGAAACUUUAACUUUAUACAAAGGUGACCACGUUUUUCGCCUUUGGUGUGAUGUGGACAAAGAUUUCAUCUAGCCAAGAAACUAUCAGGUAACUCAGGUUAGUGUGCUGCCGAGGCUAAGGUAAGAUUUUACUGGAAACAUGACUAAAUCUAUCACUUUUUUUACCAGGCAUGGCUGGAGAUGAUAGUCCGAUAAAAGUGGUUUUAAUGGAGAUUUAGCUAAGUUGGCUGUGUUACAAAUAAAAAAAGCUAAGUUGGCAUCUUCUAUAUAUUGAAGGUGGUCCGAUAAAAGUCUCUUAUUGAAUCAUCUGAGUCUUCCUUGAAUUAUCAACAGAUGUUGAUAGAAACUCCAGUUACAAGAAACGGUUAAGUGAAAGUUUGGAGUCUGAAGAGUGCAACUGUGCAAGGCCAUGGAGGUGGCAGCAUUGUGAAGGUGAAGCUUCCAGUGUUCACUUUGCAUGAUAUUUUUUUUGCACGUGGUUGUUAUUCCCUAGUUAGCUUACACAUAUUAUAGCAUAUUUUAUCUUGGCUGUCACAUUGGGAAAUGGACAUAUUCUGAACUAAGUUAUUUACUUCCUUUUAUAGACUAGAAGUAUUUUCUUAUUUACUUGAUUAGGGGUUGUCGCAUCUUGUGAUUUGAUUAGAUACUCUUCUUGAUCUGGUUUCUCACUUUGAGCAACAAUGGCAGCAAUGAUGAUAGUUGACUUUCAAAACUGUUUCAUCUUCAUCCUUCUAUGCCUCUUCUCACUCCUCUGUUACACUCUCUUCUUCAGGAAACAAAAGAAGUCACGACUUGGCUUUGACGAUCUGCCACCGAGCCCUCCUUCUCUACCAAUCAUUGGUCAUCUUCACAUCAUCCUCUCUCUUCUAAUCCACAAAUCAUUACAGAAACUCGCAUCUAAGUAUGGACCUCUUCUCCAUCUCCGCAUCUUCAACUUCCCUAUAGUCCUCGUCUCCUCUGCUUCAGUGGCUGAAGAGAUCUUCAAAACACAAGACGUGAACGUGUCCUCUCGCAGCCUCCCUACUAGCGAGGGGUCCCUCUACUUUGGAUCUUCUGGCUUCAUCUUCGCACCUUAUGGAGAUUACUGGAAGUUUAUGAAGAAGCUCAUCACCACCAAGCUCCUCGGACCACAGGCACUCGAGAGGUCACGAGGCAUCCGUGGUGAUGAGGUGAAGCUGUUUUACUCUAACCUCCUAGAUAAGGCGAUGAGGAAGGAGAGAGUUGAUAUCGGUGAAGAAGCAAUGAAGCUAACUAACAACAGCAUGUGCAAGAUACUCAUGGGGAGGGUUUGUGUAGAGGAUGCGGAGAUAGUCAGAGGCUUAGUGGCAAAGACAGAUUCCCUGACGAAGAAGCUUUUCUUGGCGUCUGUCUUGCGCAGACCGCUUGAGAAGCUUGGGAUCUCACUUUUUAAAAAGGAGCUGAUGGGUGUUUCCAGUAUGUUUGAUGAGGUACUAGAGAGGUACCUUGUGGAACACGAAAAGAAACAGGAGGAACAAGGUGGGGAUAUGAUGGAUGUGUUGAUAGAAGCAUAUAGAGACGAAAAUGCUGAGUAUAAGAUCACUAGGAACCAUAUCAAGUCCUCGUUAGUGGUAAACGCAUGUUUCUCUCUUGACUUAUUUAAGAGUCUAACUGGUGACCAUCUUAGGAACACAAGAAACAAACAUGAAUAAAAUUGUAUCAAAUUUAGUAAAGAAAAUUUUUGUUCUACUUUACUCAAUAAAAGAAAUGGAAAGAAAAAAUUAUUCCUAUAAAUAUUUUUAAAAAAAUGAAAAUGUAGUGUUCUUCUUGAUUUCUUUGGUCACCGGUUAGAUCUUUAAUAUCACCUUUGUUUGUCCUGACUCUUGACUAAGAAAAGUUCGCUACUACAACGAACAGGAUCUUUUCAUUGCAGGCAGUGAAACUACGUCCAACAGUAUAGAAUGGACCAUGGCCGAGCUGAUAAACAACCCCAAGAGUCAUGAGAAACUGAGAGGAGAAAUCGAUUUGAUUGUAGGGAAAACAAGGUUGAUUUAAGAAACUGAUCUACCAAACCUUCCUCAUCUGCAAGCGGUCAUGAAGGAAGGACUGAGAUUGCACCCACCGGCGCCUCUUGUGGUAAGAACAUUCCAAGAAGGGUGUGAGGUCAAAGGGUUCUACAUACCGGAGAAGACAACACUUGUUGUCAAUGGUUAUGCUGUAAUGAGAGAUCCUGAUGUCUGGGAAGAUCCUGAGGAGUUUAAGCCAGAGAGGUUCUUGGCUACUUCACGUUCAGGACAAGAAGAGGACAAGACGAAAGGUCUAAGAUACAUUCCUUUCGGAAGUGGAAGGAGAGGUUGUCCUGGAUCAAACCUGGCUUAUCUCUUUCUAGGAGCAGCUGUUGGAGUAAUGGUGCAGGCCUUUGAUUGGAGAAUCAAGGAAGAGAAAGUUAACAUGGAUGAAGUUGCUGGAGCAGCUUCGUUGAGCAUGGCUCAUCCAAUUCACGCUACUCCUGUUGCUCGAACCCGAAACCUUCUAACUUAACUUGUAGACUUGCUUUCUCUUGGAUUUUCUAAAUCUCAUGAUUGAACAAAGGCUAUCUAUCUUAUUAAAACUCAAGUACAAAAUUGGAGUGUUUGGAGACUUGAAUAGGACUUUUAAAAAUUUGGAGUGUUUGAAAACAUGGAUUGCAGUCUUUUAAAAAAAAAUAUUUUUGUUUGAAAACAAGAAUAGUAGUAUUAAGAAAAAAAGUAAUGGGUUUAUGUUUUUUUUUUUAAAUUGAAAGUUAUCUAGGCCACUUUUAAAAUAUACCAAAAUGGGUCAAUCUAAUUCCCUAAAAUUUUUUUUUCUAAACUAACCAUAAAACAAAAUUUAAACUUUAUAUACAUAUUUCAAAUCAAAAUAAUAAUUCAAAUUUGAUUUAUAUCAAAAAUUGAUUCAAAAAUAUACAUAUAUUCAAAAAUGGAUUUUUACUAAACUAUUUUUCAAUAACCAUUAUAAAAAAAUAUUGUCAAUAUAUAUAAGAAAAAUAUAAUACAAAGCCCAAUUUGAAAUACCAACUCAAAUUAUGGUUUUCAUAUUUCAUAUUAAGUUUUAAAAAUAUAAUAUAUGUAAUUAUUUAUAUGAUGGUAUGUAUAAAAUAUUAUUAAUUAUAUGAUUACUUAUAUGAUGGUACAUAUAAAAUACGAUUAAUUAUAUGAUGAUAAAAUACGAUAUAUAAUAAUGACUAGGGAUGGGCUUUUGGAUACCCAUACGGGUUUAGUUCUGAUCGGUUUGUAUUUUGGGUUUUCGGGGUCAAAGAUUUCAGCCUUAUUAGAAUGUUUCUAAAUUUUGGUUUGAGUUCGAUUUGGAUCUUUGCGGGUUUGGUUUGGGUUUGGAUAACUAAUUUAAAUUAUUUUUAAAGUCUUAAAUCAUUAUAUAUUUUAAAUUUCUCAAAAUGUAUAAAUAAAAUAAUAUAUUACGUAUAAAUUUGAAUAACAUAUGUCAUAAUACUUAAGCUUAACAUAUCAAUUGGCUUGAUUUAAAAUUUUGGAUACGAAAUCAAUAAUUAUUUUAAGUAUUUUUGGUGAUUUGAGUAUACUUUAACUAUUUCAGAUAUUUACUUUUGACUAUCUAUAUAUAUUUUCAAGUAUUUAAACCAAUUUAAAAGUAUCAUUUUUGAUGUUUUAUAUACGUUAAAUCUAAAAAUAAUUAAUAUAUAAGUAUAUAAAUCUAUUUUUAGAUAAAUUAUCCAAAUACUUCGGUUCGGAUCAGAUUCGGUUCUCUAAAUAACAAAAUUUUGAAUAAUUAGAAUAUUUAAUCAAUUUAUGUUUGGGUUUAGUACUAUAUCUUUGGAUCGGUAUCGGUUAUGUUCCUCGGAUUCAUUUUUCCAAAUCCUAAUAAUUACAUGAAAAACAAAUAUCAACAUAUUUUUCAAAAUAUACACCCGCGCGCCUGCGCGGGUCAAAAUCUAGUCUAUAUCUUAUUAAAACUCAAGUACAAAAUUGGAGUGUUUGGAGACUUGAAUAGGACUUUUAAAAAUUUGGAGUGUUUGGAAACAUGGAUUGCAGUCUUUUAAAAAAAAAUAUUUUUGUUUGAAAACAAGGAUAGUAGUAUUAAGAAAAAAAAGUAAUGGACUUAUGUUUUUUUAAAAAAUUGAAAGUUAUCUAGGCCACUUUUAAAAUAUACCAAAAUGGGUCAAUCUAAUUCCCUAAAAAAAAUUUUUCUAAACUAACCAUAAAACAAAAUUUAAACUUUAUAUACAUAUUUCAAAUCAAAAUAAUAAUUCAAAUUUGAUUUAUAUCAAAAAUUGAUUCAAAAAUAUACAUAUAUUCAAAAAUGGAUUUUUACUAAACUAUUUUUCAAUAACCAUUAUAAAAAAAUAUUGUCAAUAUAUAUAAGAAAAAUAUAAUACAAAGCCCAAUUUGAAAUACCAACUCAAAUUAUGGUUUUCAUAUUUCAUAUUAAGUUUUAAAAAUAUAAUAUAUGUAAUUAUUUAUAUGAUGGUAUGUAUAAAAUACUAUUAAUUAUAUGAUUACUUAUAUGAUGGUACAUAUAAAAUACGAUUAAUUAUAUGAUGAUAAAAUACGAUAUAUAAUAAUGACUAGGGAUGGGCUUUUGGAUACCCAUACGGGUUUAGUUCUGAUCGGUUUGUAUUUUGAGUUUUCGGGGUCAAAGAUUUCAGCCUUAUUAGAAUGUUUCUAAAUUUUGGUUUGAGUUCGAUUUGGAUCUUUGCGGGUUUGGUUUAGGUUUGGAUAACUAAUUUAAAUUAUUUUUAAAGUCUUAAAUCAUUAUAUAUUUUAAAUUUCUCAAAAUGUAUAAAUAAAAUAAUAUAUUACGUAUAAAUUUGAAUAACAUAUGUCAUAAUACUUAAGCUUAACAUAUCAAUUGGCUUGAUUUAAAAUUUUGGAUACGAAAUCAAUAAUUAUUUUAAGUAUUUUUGGUGAUUUGAGUAUACUUUAACUAUUUCAGAUAUUUACUUUUGACUAUCUAUAUAUAUUUUCAAGUAUUUAAACCAAUUUAAAAGUAUCAUUUUUGAUGUUUUAUAUACGUUAAAUCUAAAAAUAAUUAAUAUAUAUAAGUAUAUAAAUCUAUUUUUAGAUAAAUUCGGAUACCCAAAUACUUCGGUUCGGAUCAGAUUCGGUUCUCUAAAUAACAAAAUUUUAAAUAAUUAGAAUAUUUAAUCAAUUUAUGUUUGGGUUUGGUACUAUAUCUUUGGAUCGGUAUCGGUUAUGUUCCUCGGAUUCAUUUUUCCAAAUCCUAAUAAUUACAUGAAAAACAAAUAUCAACAUAUUUUUCAAAAUAUACACCCGCGCGCCUGCGCGGGUCAAAAUCUAGUUGGUUUUGUUAUUUACCAUCAAAUAAUAAAUCUGUAAGCGGGUUAUUAUUGGUUUAAAAUCGGUUUAGUUUUAAAUUUUAAUUGUUAAAGUGUAACUGUUAUAUAGUAAACCAAUAUUCAUAUAUGUAUAUAUGUAAUUUGAUUUAUAAUUUUAUUUUAGGGAGAGAUAUAUAUAUUUUAAACUUGAAUUUAUGAAUAAAAUAUUUAAACAUUUUAAAUGAUGGAUAAUCGAUAUUAGACAUUAAUAUAGUGUAGUUUUGAAGGGAAAAUAAUUUGUCAAUUUCUAUUUAUGUUCUUGUGUAAUUUAGUUAAACUUUUGUUUCAUGGAGACUAGGGAUUAACCCGGGCUACGCCCGGGAUUUUUUUUUCUAAUUUAAGUUGUUAAAUUAUUUAUAUUUAGGUUAUGAUAUAUAUUUAUAUAAAUGUUAAGAUGCAUGUCAUAAUUAAAAUUUAUUUUUAUAUUUUAACACGUUAAAUUAACAUAUUUUUUACUAUUUAAAUAUCUUUUUUUGUAAUUUUGUUGGCUAUCUAGUUAACAUAUUUAGCAAAACUAUAUGUUGAGUGUUGGAAUAAAUGUUUAGAUAUUUAAUUAAACUGCAGAGUAUUUUCGGAUCGACCACAUGCUCAACAAUCGGUCGAUCCGUAAAAAGAUGGUCGAUCUCCUUGGCCAGGUAAGUACAAUUUUAGCAAAAAUAUCUUUGAUUUUCACAUAUUAAGUAUAUAACUAUUCUUUUGAAUAUUGUUUUUCAAAUUGUAUUUUUUGAUUAAAUUAUUGUAUUAUAAUGUUUAUGUAAAUAUUUUUUGAUGUUUGAAUUUGUGUUGUUCGUAUACUUAACCUAGAUAAUAUUGAUGUUUAACAAUUUAUUGUUUUCUUGAUAUAGAAAAUAAUGAUAUAUCAAAACAUAUCUAAUACUUGUUAAAUGAUAGUAUAAUGUAAAUUACUUCCAUUAUUUAAAAAUAACCAUUUGUUUUUUUUAUUUUUUAUUUUACAUCAGAAAUUAUUUUUAUUUAAAAACUUCAUUCAUAUAUAAUAUAAUUGUUUAAGUUUGGAAGAUUAAUCUAUAUAUAUAAAUUAUGUAUAUUUUUUAAAAAUAAUUCAAGAUAUUAUAUAUUGAGUAACUGAAUAAAAGCUGAAUUUCUUAUCUUGAAAAUCAAAUAUUUAUAGUUUUGUCUUCAUGUAAUACUCACCAAUCCAUAAUUGAUAUUUAUAACUCAGAAUGUUUUUUAAAAAACUUAGUUUUAAAUAAUAAAUGAAUUUAAUAAAUUAAAUUCAUCACCUAUAAUGUUCUGUAAACUAUAUUUUGAAAACUCUCUAAAAUUAUAUUUUAAGCAUAAUAUUACUAUUAUUUAAUUUAAGUUAUUUUAAGCAUAAUAUAUGCUAAACCAACUUAAAUUAUAUUUACAAUAGGACCAUCCUAAACUGGUUAAUAAACCAAAAACAAUACUAAACCAACAUGAACCAAUACCUGAUUUGGCGAGGAAUGAAGUGUUUCGGGAUAAACGCUUGAAUGAUUAUUAACUGUAAUGGUUUGAUCAUGAAAGACUUAGUACGAAUAUUAACAAUAAAAUUAUGGAUUUGAUUAAUUUAAAUUUGUAAGAAUACAUUUGAGUCUAUGAAAAGCAAUUCAAUUCCCAUGAAUAAGUUUGGUUUUUGAAAGUUGCGGGUUUCCCAACAAUGAAUCCACCUAACAAAAAGUUCGUUGUUAUAAAAAAUCUCUUUCAAGGUCAUUAAAGGUUUUUGGGACGGCAAGAGUUGAUGGUGGAACCAUUUUUUUGCUCGAGUGCUUUGAAGUUUUCCUUGAUAGUGUGAGGUUGAUGUUGAUGGAAUAAUGAGUUUUAUAGAGACUUUCUUGAUGUAAAACUAUACAUUUUUAUUUUUUUUGUUAAAUGUGGUAUUUCCAUUUUUAUAUAAUUUACUACCAUUUUAAUAUAGAUGUACAUUUUAAGAUCGAUGUUUAAAUCUUAAUGUACUUUUUCCAUUUUUUAAAAUGUUUAUUUCCAUUUCUUAUAUUUUUUAUUUACGUAAUAUCUAUAUUUUAUAUUUUAAAAUAGAUAUUUAAAUCUUAAUGUACUUUUUCCAUUUUUUUUUAAAUUGUGUAUUUACUUUUAUCAUAUAUUUUAUAUUUUAAGAUAGAUGUUUAAUGCUUAAUGAACUUUUUCCAUUUUUAAAAAAAAAUUGUGUAUUUACUUAUUAUUAUAUAUAUAAUUCAUAUAUUAUAUAUUUAUAUUAUUUACUUAUUAUUUAUUUUCCUGUAUAUGUAUUUCCAUUUCUUGUACUUUUUAUUUACUUAAUAUCUCUAUUUUAUAUUUUAAUAUAGAUGUUUAAAUCUUAAUGUACGUUUUCUUUUUUUUUUUUAAAUUGUAUAUUUCCAUUUGUUAUACUUUCUAUUUACGUAAUAUCUAUAUUUUAAAUUUUAAGAUAUAUUUUUAAAUCUUAAUGUAAUUUUCCAUUUUUUAAAUUGGGUAUUUUCUUAUAAUAUAUAUUUACUUAUUAUUUAUUUUUCUUUAUAUUGUGUAUUUCUAUUUCUUAUACUUUCUAUUUACUAAUAAUUUUAUAAUUUAAGAUAGAUUUACAUUUUAAGAUAGAUGUUUAAAUACCAAUGUACUUUUUCCAUUUUUUAAAUUGUGUAUUUCCUUUUCUUAUACUUUCUAUUUGCGUAAUAUCUAUAUUUUAUAUUUUAAGAUAGAUGUUUAAAUCUUAAUAUACUUUUUCCAUUGUUUUUAAGUUGUGUAUUUCUUUUUCUUAUACUUUUUAUUUACUUAAUAUCUAUAUUUUACAUUUUAAGAUAGAUGUUUAAUAUUUAAUGUACUCUUUCCAUUUUUUAAAAAUUGUGCAUGUACUUAUUAUUGUAUAUAUAAUUCGUAUAUUUAUAUAUUUAUAAUAUUUACUUAUUAUUUAUUUUUAUAUAUAUUGAGUAUUUCUCUUUCUUAUACUUUAUAUUUAGUUAAUAUCUAUAUUUUAUAUUUUAAGAUAGAUGUUUAAAUCUUAAUGUAUUUUUACAUUUUUAAUGUAAAACGACAAUGUUUAAUAGAAGAACUUGGACAAAUAGUCAAAUAGUUAUAUUUAUGUUUUUUUUUUUUAUAAAAUGGUAAUGUUACAUUAUGGAGAUAAGCCACUUUUUUUAGUGAAAAAUGGAAAUCUUACAUAUAUUUAAUGUAGUUUUUCUAUUUUUUUAUGUUGUAUGUUUACAUAUUAUUGUUAUUCUUAAAUAUAAAAUGGUAAUCUUACAUAUGUUUAAUGUAGUAUUUCCAUUUUUUUUAUGUUGUAUGUUUACAUAUUAUUUAUUAUUUUCGAAAUUAUAUAUAAUGUUUUUUUUUGCAAAAUAGUAAUUUUACAUUAUGGAGAUAAACCGUCUUUUUUUAGUGAAAAAUGGUAAUCCUACAUAUGUUUAAUGUAGUUUUUCUAUUUUUAUGUUGUAUGUUUAUAUAUUAUUUUUUUUUUAAAUUAAAAAUGUAAAAUGGUAAUCUUACAUAUGUUUAAUGUAGUAUUUCCAUUUUUUAUGUUGUAUGUUUACAUAUAUUUAUUAUUUUCGAAAUUAUAUAUAAUGUUUUUUGUUUUUUUAUAUAAAAUGGUAAUGUUACAUUAUGGAGAUAAGCCGUCUUUUUUUCAAGUGAAAAAUGGUAAUCUUACAUAUGUUUAAUGUAGUUUUUCUAUUUUUUAUGCUGUAUGUUUACAUAUUAUUUAUAUUUUGCGAAAAUUAGUAAUAUUAAAGUGUAAAACUAUUUUUUAUGCCACGUGUCAUCUUUUGGGAGAAGUUUUUUUUGUUGAUGUGGACGCUCUAUGGAGCCUCAAAAGGUCUCUUUUAUUAGUAAGGACUAGGGAUUAACCCGGGCUACGCCCGGGAUUUUUAUUUUUUUCUAAUUUAAGUUGUUAAAUUAUUUAUAUUUAGGCUAUGAUUUAUAUUUAUAUAAAUGUUAAAAUGCAUGUCAUAAUUAAAAUUUAUUUUUAAAUUUUAACACGUUAAAUUAACAUAUUUUUUACUAUUUAAAUAUUUUUUUAUAAUUUUAUUGGCUAUUUAGUUAUCAUAUUUAGCAAAACUAUCUUUUGAGUGUUGGAAUAAAUGUUUUAGAGAUUUUAUUAAACUGCAGAGUAUUUUUGGAUCGACCACAUGCUCAACAUUCGAUUGAUCCGUAAAAAGAUGGUCGAUCUCCUUGGCCAGGUAAGUACAAUUUUAGCAAAAAUAUCUUUUAUUUUCAAAUAUUAAGUAUAUAACUAUUCUUUUUAAUAUUUUUUUAAUUGUAUUUUUGAUUAAAUUAUUGUAUUAUAAUGGUUAUGUAAAUAUUUUUUGUGAUGUUUGAAUUUUUGUUGUUCGUAUACUUAACCUAGAUGAUAUUGAUGUUUAACAAUUUAUUGUUUUUUGAGAAUAGAAAAUAAUGAUAUAUCAAAACGUAUCUAAUACUUGUUAAAUGAUAGUAUAAUGUAAGUUACAUCCAUUAUUUGAAAAUAAACAUUUGUUGUUUUUAUUUUUAUUUUAAAUCAGAAAUUAUUUUUAUUUAAAAACAUUAUUCAUAUAUAAUAUAAUAGUUUAAGUUUGGAAGAUUAAUCUAUAUAUAUAAAUUAUGUAUAUUUUUUAAAACAUCAUUUAAGAUAUUAUAUAUUGAGUAUCUGAAUAAAAGCUGAAUUUCUUAUCUUGAAAAUCAGAUAUUUAUAUUUUUGUCUUCAUGUUAUACUCACCAAUCCAUCAUUGAUAUUUAUAACUCAGUAUGUUUUUUAAAAAACUUAGUUUUAAGUAAUAAACGAAUUUAAUAAAUUAAAUUCAUCACCUAUAAUGUUCUGUAAACUAUAUUUGAAAACUCUCUAAAAUUAUAUUUAAAGCAUAAUAUUAUUAUUAUUUAAUUUAAGUUAUUUUAAACAUAAUAUAUGCUAAACCAACUUAAAUUAUAUUUACAAUAAGACCAUCCUAAACCGGUUAGUAAACCAAAAAUAAUACUAAACCAACAUGAACCAAUACCUGAUUCGGCGAGGAAGGAAGUGUUUCGAGAUAAACGCUUGAAUGGUUAUCAACUGAAAUGGUUUGAUCAUGAAAGAGUUAGUAUGAAUAUUAACAAUAAAAUUAUAGAUUAGAUUAAUUUAAAUUUGUAAGAAUACCUUUGAGUCUAUGAAAAGCAAUUCAAUUCCCAUGAAUAAGUUUGGCUUUUGGAAGUUGCGGGUUUCCCAACAAUGAAUCCACCUAACAAAAAGUUUGUUGUUAUAAAAAAAUCUCAUUCAAUGUCAUUAAAGGUUUCUGGGACGGCAAGAGUUGAUAGUGAAACUAUUUUUUUGCUCGAGUGCUUUGAAAUUUUGCUUAAUAGUGUGAGGUUGAUGUGGAUGGAAUAAUGAGUUUUAUAGGGACUUUCUUGAUGUAAAACUAUACAUUUUUUUUUGUUUAAUGUGGUAUUUCUAUUUUUAUAUAAUUUACUACCAUUUAAAGAUAGAAGUACAUUUUAAGAUAGAUGCUUAAAUCUUAAUGUACUUUUUCCAUUUUUUAAAAUGUUUAUUUCCAUUUCUUAUAUUUUAAUUUACGUAAUAUCUAAAUUUUAUAUUUUUAAAUAGAUAUUUAAAUAUUAAUGAACUUUUUCCAUUUUUUAAAUUGUGUAUUUACUUAUAUUAUAUAUUUUACAUUUUAAGAUAGAUGUUUAAUGCUUGAUGAACUUUUUCCAUUUUUAAAAAAAUAGUGUAUUUACUUAUUAUUACAUAUAUAAUUCAUAUAUUAUAUAUUUACAUUAUUUACUUAUUAUUUAUUUUCAUGUAUAUGUAUUUCCAUUUCUUGUACUUUUAAUUUACUUAAUAUCUAUAUUUUACAUUUUUAGAUAGAUGUUUAAAUCUUAAUGUAUGUUUUCCAUUUUUUAAAUUGUAUAUUUCUAUUUGUUAUACAUUCUAUUUACGUAAUAUCUAUAUUUUAAAUUUUAAUAUAUAUUUUUAAAUCUUAAUGUAAUUUCCCAUUUUUUAAAUUUGGUAUUCACUUAUAUUAUAUAUUACUUAUUAUUUAUUUUUCUUUAUAUUGUGUAUUUCUAUUUCUUAUACUUUCUAUUUACUAAUAAUUUUAUAUUUUAAGAUUGAUUUAUAUUUUAAGAUAGAUGUUUAAAUACUAAUGUAUUUUUUCCAUUUUUUUAAAUUGUGUAUUUCCUUUUCUAAUACUUUCUAUUUACUUAAUAUCUAUAUUUUACAUUUUAAGAUAGAUGUUUAAUAUUUAAUAUACUCUUUUCAUUUUUUAAUAAUUGUGCAUUUACUUAUUAUUGUACAUAUAAUUCGUAUAUUUAUAUAUUUAUAAUAUUUACUUAUUAUUUAUUUUUCUAUAUAUUGAGUAUUUCUCUUUCUUAUACUUUAUAUUUAGUUAAUGUAUAUAUUUUAUAUUUUAAGAUAGAUGUUUAAAUCUUUACGUAUUUUUCUAUUUUUAAUGUAAAACGGCAAUGUUUAAUAAAAGAACUUGGACAUCAUCCAUGUACCUGGAAGCUACCUGGAAGAUAUCAAGCUUUUACGAAGAAGUUUCCUCAACUCAGACAUCAUCCAUGUACCCCGAACGGAGAACCAAAGGGCGGAUAGCUUGGCACGUAGUGCUAGGAAACAACCGUCUUUCGUCGUUCAUAUGGAUGCGGAGUUACCGAUUUGGUUUACAGAGUCAACAUGAGUCUGUGAAUGUCUUGCUGUCAAAAAAAAAAAAAAAAAACUUGGACAAAUAGUCAAAUAAUUAUUUAUGUUUUUUUUUCUUUUUUUAAUAAAAUUCUAAUGUUACAUUAUGAAGAUAACCCGUUUUUUUAGUGAACAAUGGUAAUCUUACACAUGUUUAAUGUAGUUUUUCCAUUUUUUUAUGUUGUAUGUUUACAUAUUAUUGUUAUUUUUAAAUGUAAAAUGGUAAUUUUACAUAUGUUUAAUGUAGUAUUUCCAUUUUUUAUGUUGUAUGUUUACAUAUUAUUUAUUAUUUUCGAAAUUAUAUAUAAUUUUUUUUUACAAAAUAGUAAUGUUACAUUAUGGAGAUAAGCCGUCUUUUUUUAGUGAAAAAUGGUAAUCUUACAUAUGUUUAAUGUAGUUUUUUCAUUUUUUAUGUUAUAUGUUUACAUAUUAUUUUCUUAAAAUAAAAAUGUAAAAUGGUAAUCUUACAUAUGUUUAAUGUAGUAUUUUCAUUUUUAUGUUGUAUGUUUUACAUAUAUUUAUUAUUUUCAAAAUUAUAUAUAAUGUUUUUUGUUUUUUUUUAUAAAACGGUAAUGUUACAUUAUGGAGAUAAGCCGUCUUUUUUUAAGUGAAAAAUAGUAAUCUUACAUAUGUUUAAUGUAGUUUUUACAUUUUUUUAAUGCUGUAUGUUUACAUAUUUUUUAUAAUUUUCGAAAAUAAGUAAUAUUAAAAUGUAAAACUAUAUUUUAAUGCCAUGUGUCAUCUUUCGAGAUUAUAUUAUAUAUUUACUUAUUAUUUAUUUUUCUUUAUAUUGUGUAUUUUUAUUUCUUAUACUUUCUAUUUACUAAUAAUUUUAUAUUUUAAGAUUGAUUUACAUUUUAAGAUAGAUGUUUAAAUACUAAUGUACUUUUCUAUUUUUUUAAAUUGUGUAUUUCCUUUUCUUAUACUUUCUAUUUGCGUAAUAUCUAUAUUUUACAUUUUAAGAUAGAUGUUUAAAUCUUAAUAUACUUUUUCCAUUGUUUUUAAGUUGUGUAUUUCUUUUUCUUAUAUUUUCUAUUUACUUAAUAUCUAUAUUUUACAUUUUAAGAUAGAUGUUUAAUAUUUAAUAUACUCUUUCCAUUUUUAAAAAAUUGUGCAUUUACUUAUUAUUGUAUAUAUAAUUCAUAUAUUUAUAUAUUUAUAAUAUUUACUUAUUAUUUAUUUUUUUAUAUAUUGAGUAUUUCUCUUUUUUAUACUUUAUAUUUAGUUAAUGUCUAUAUUUUAUAUUUUAAGAUAGAUGUUUAAAUCUUUACGUAUUUUUCUAUUUUUAAUGUAAAACGGAAAUGUUUAAUAGAAGAACUUGGACAAAUAGUCAAACAUAUUUAUGUUUAAUGUAGUAUUUCCAUUUUUAUGUUGUAUGUUUUACUUAUAUUUAUUAUUUUCGAAAUUAUAUAUAAUGUUUUUUGUUUUUUUUUUAUAAAACGGUAAUGUUACAUUAUGGAGAUAAGCCGUCUUUUUUUUUUAAGUGAAAAAUAGUAAUCUUACAUAUGUUUAAUGUAGUUUUUCUAUUUUUUAAUGCUGUAUGUUUACAUAUUUUUUACAAUUUUUGAAAAUAAUUAAUAUUAAAAUGUAAAACUAUAUUUUAUGCCACGUGUCAUCUUUCGGGAUAAUUUUUUUCCGCUGAUGUGGACGCCCUAUGGAGCCUCAAAAGCUCCCUUUUAUUAGUAGAGAUUUAAAAAAAAAAUCAAAAUUUGAAUCUGUGGAUAAUCUUAUCUAAAAUUUAAAUUAUGAAAUCAAUAUACUUUAAUUUUGUAUGGUUUUGGGUAAACCGGUUAAGUUCUAACUUCUUCUUCUUCCUCAAACCGGUUAAGUCCCUUGCCGUCGUCGGGAAGAUAACAGUUCACUAAAUCAAUCUGCAAUCAAGAAAGAGAAAGAGAGAGAGAGAGAGUUUGAUCCUUCAUCACAGCUUAUGCAGCAGUCCCAACUUCUCCAGAACCCUGCCGAUUCGGCGAACAAUCAGUCCGAGCCAGACGCGCCGCCGAAGCAGGUGGCUCAGGCCAUGGAUCGACUCAACCAAGCUGCACGGGCCAUCGCCGAUAUUCGCCUCGGCGCUGACCGUAUCUUCGAAGCCGUCUUCCUAACUUCUCAUCCUCGCAGCAGCAGCACAACCGACACGUCACUUCAGCUCUUACUCAGAGAAGACGCCUCCAUGCGUCAACACCUUCACGAUCUCCGUUCGAUUGGUACUUUUUUACAAAAUUGAUUCUCUUCGUUAGUAUCUGUAGAUUUAAGGAUGGAUGGGAUGGUGUUGAUUGGAUCUCAGGGAAGAAGCUGGAAGAGUCUGGGGUUCUCACUGAGUCUCUCAGGUCGAGGAGUAACUCGUGGGGCCUUCACAUGCCGUUGGUUUGUCCAGAUGGUGCGGUCGUUGCGUAUGCGUGGAAGAGGCAGCUUGCUGGCCAAGCUGGUGCUUCUGCUGUUGAUAGAACUAGGUAUCACAUUGUGUGUUAGAGAUUUUGAGCAUAACUAAGUGUUUAGGUUCGAGUCUAACAUCUUAGGAUUGAAGAUACAUUUGUGUUGAAAUGAUCAUUAACCUUAGUGAAUCAUAUGCAAUUUGUAGUGUCAUCAGCUAUAGCAUUCUCCAUUUGCUCUUCUCUGGCGAAUGAUUUGGUUUGUUAAAACUUUGAAUAUGAUUCUUAAUGACUGUAGUUUAGCUCUCAAGGAUCAAAAGAAGGCUAGCUUAGAAUUGAAGUUACAUUUGUCUGUUAGUUCCAUCUUCCUCCUGGAGAGUAGAUUGUUUUGGUUUAUGUUUCCAUCAUCUGUCCUCACUUUCUGUUUUUGGUUUAUACCAUGUGAUGUUGGAAGGAUUGUUAUUAGGAAUCAUGCACUUUGGAGUUUCAUCUGCUAUAGCAUGCUUACUAUUUUCCAUUUUCUCUUCUCUCUUGAAUGAUGGCUAUAUCCUGGUUUGUUAAGAGUUUAUGACUCUUUGUGACUGUAGGUUAGCUCUUAAGGCCUUCACGGAUCAGAAAAGGCGUUUCUUUCCACACAUUGACGAUGGACUGAAGGAACCAAGAUUAAAGAAACAUCGUGCCUCCCAUUCACUAUUGGAACAUGGAGGAGAGGAGCCGUUUGAUUACAAAACAUUGCCUGAUAUACAAUUGCGUUUAGAGAAGCUGGUUCCGAAUGUGAAGAUGUCUACAUAUGGACGGUUGAGCUGGCUCAAAAGAGCUAAUUCUUUACCUGUGUCAGGCAGUGAUGAUGAUCCAGCAGAAGCAUCGAAACUUGUUUUUCAGAAUUCUAGUAAGCUGAGAUCAGGGUUAGAGGCUGAGGUCGCUGAUAAAGUUGCUGUGAUUGAGUUGUAUGUUCCAUCUGUGUUCAGAGCUGUGGUCUCGUUGAAUCCGGCUGGUUCUGUUGAUCCAGAUUCUGUUGCGUUCUUCUCUCCAGAUGAGGUAACUUCCAUUAGUUAAAACUGAUCUUCAGAGGAUGUUGUUUUUUGCUUCAUCCCUUCACUUCUUUAUAGGGAGGCAGCUACUUACAUUCGAGAGGCUUCUCGGCUCAUCAUGUUUACAAACACAUCACGGUAACAGAGAGUGCAACUGGUGUUACGAAUUUGAUUGAUUAGGAACUUGCGUUAAUUAGCUUUUUCUUGCAGGAACAUGCUUCUACGGCCUUGCAAUAUUUCCUCGGCUUUGGUACCGGAACAGCUCUGUACUCUCUUCUGGUAAAAAGAUUUAGCAAGAACUCAUCUGUCUUUGGAUAACAUAAACCAUUACUUUCUUUUGGAUCCAUGGAAGUUAAUUUACACAUUUUCUUGUCCUCUAAUGCAGCUAUGGAUAUGCAGUUUUGAAUCCCUAUUUAGUAAAUCGUGCAGGUAAUAAUAGGCCAGUCUAUAAGAUUCUUGUGCAUUGAAGCACUCGUGUUAACAGCGGAGUGAACUUUUCACAUCUCUUAUGGUGCAGUAAAUGUGGAAGGCUAUUAGCGAUGGAUAAAAAAUCUGCUCUAAUUCUACCUCCUCUACACCGUGCUUACCAAGAAUUGCCUCUUGCAGCCAACAUAGAUGUUUGUGAAGCUUACCAUGGCGGUUGCUCUCCAGAUGAUUCUUAAUAAUCCAGUGGUUAGGGAGGAUCAAUUAGAAGGUUAUAGAACUUGCAUCUUAGAGCAUUUUGCAUGGAUCUGUAAUAUCUAGUUUUCUCUUUGACCCCUCUUGUUUGUAUCCAACGUUGAGGUUAAGUUUACAUUAUAGCAGUUCCUUUCUUCUCGGUUAAGAGACAUAGAGGCAAGUGACAAGUGAUGGUACAUGGGACUGUUGUCUAUAAUGUAGAUAUUUGAUCUGUGUCACGAGAUGACUGACCAAAGACUUAUUUUACUCGGUUCACAUUCAUAUGUUAGUAUGUUGCAAUAAACAUCAAAGUGAGAAGAAGACAAAGUGGGUCCUGAAUCUUGCACCAGGAGACGAACGUGUUGGAUUCAGAACCAGAAACAGAAAAGAUGUUACAUUUAUCAAGAUCAGUAAGUUUCAUGUCUUCUUUGAUCAAUAAGAUUAUGUCUUCUUUUCAUAGUGAUUUUACAUUUGAAAUUGAUUUUUAACUUCAAAUCUGAAACUAAAAGAAACACACAGAAGAGUCACUAAAGCAAACAAAAGGGCUAGGAAGAAGAAGAAGAAUAAGAUCAUACAUUUACACAACAACAUAAGACAACCUUCCAAAACCAAAACCAAACUCCUCACUACUUCUUGCCUUCUUCAACAAAACUAACAGCUUUCACAGGACAUUCCUCUGGAACCACCACCAUUGACCUCCUCACACCACAUAAUGUCCAGAUACACAAAGCCAACACUGCUCCCAAGGCUCCACACACUGCACCCAACACCAAAACACCUAUCAUCCCCCAUACACACUCGUUUCUCCCAACACCCUCUUCCUCCUCAGUAGAACUAUCACCCUCCAAUGCUUCAUACGGCUGAAGCGGCUCUGAAUGCAUCCACACCGGAGGAGGAUGCCAUACCUCAACCCCCCACGAAUAUAGAAAAUGCGCAUUUGAAGAGUUCCCGUUUGCAGAACUUAACCCCACCAUGAACUCACCACCAUUCCAAAGCUCCUCCAAGUCCACCGAGAAAGAGAAGAACGGAUCAUACAUCUUAACCGAACCAGCUUUUCUAAACCGAAUCAUCAUCCUCUUGGAACUCCCCUCAUACUCAACCAUACAGUUCAGCCUCCCUCCUUUCUCCAUCAUCAAGUCACCCCUAAACGAAAGGUUUCUAAUUUGAGAACCUAUCAAGAUUCUCGCACGGUUACCUCCACUGGAUACAUCAAACUCAAAGCCAACAACCGUCUCGUUCUUUGCGAACUGAAACAGAAACCCUAAAGCAGAGGAGGAGGUGGUGUCUUUCUUACCGAACAGACCAAGAUCAAAACUUGUCGGGACCAUUACAAACCCCAGGACGUCAGCAAUCUCGUUAGGCAUCGAGAAGGAGAAGUGAGUGGAGAAAGAUAGCGAGUUCCUCCUCUCUUUACCUUGGAGAAGCUUGAUGGGUUUCUUGUAAAAGACUCCUCCCAAGCUUCCACUCACUGAGUUAGUCAGCUGAAUCGAAGAAGUGGAACUGACCAGCUUCGAAUCUCCGAACAGAGAGACAUCCUUGUAAAAAGUCUGAGACUUCGCGAACCCAUCAAAUGAAAAGGAGGAGUUCUCAUGUGUAGUAGCCAUGGUUCCAUAACUCACGAAGCACAGAGCAAAGAAAAAGGAUAGAGCUUUGAGCAACAUCGCCAUAGCUUUGAACAGGGACAAGCUCUUCUUCUUCUUCUUCUAGAUGGAAUCUUUUAGGAACCGAGAAAGAGUUCUACUUUUAAAGAAGACAAAAGUAAAGUUGUUUUCUUUGUUAUUGUGUGGAUUUACGUGAAGAAGAAGAAGAAGAAGAUUAAAAUAAUAUAAUCUUGUGCAGAAACCAGAGACCACGAUUCGCUCUCAUUCUCUUUCUUGUAGUGCUUGCUGACUAAAGGUUGUGAAUGUAUUUAAUGCUGUUUCUGAUUUUUUUUAUUCAAUGUUAUUAUUACAUUCUCUCUUGUUUAGUCUUUGAGAUUAUGAAACCUAUGCGCAUUUUCUUCAAAACGUUUAUAACAUACAUUAAAAUGGUUGAAGAGGCUUUGCUUCACACUUUUUGUUUUACUUACGAUCAGAUGGUCACAUACAUAUACGUAAGGACAGCUUGAGUGAAUAGUACUACUGUAAUGAUGUACUUAUAAAGUGAACUCGUCCAACAAAGAUAAUUAACAUUAAAUAAAUAAACUCGUUUCAGUGACAAGAAAGAGGGGUCGAUAUCAAUGGACCAAUGAAAAGAAAGCUCAUGGGCAAUCCCCACUUGGCUUUCUUCUUCUUUUCUGAUCUCAUUUAAAAUAAUUCUUGCCAAACAAAAAAACAAGAGGUAAGUUCCAAUAAUUUUCUUAAAAGAAGGAUGAUGAUUCAACAAAAAGACAAAAGUUUAAGCGUUUCACAAAUUGUUGGUUCAAAAAAAUAUCUGACCUAACAAGAACAAAACGUAUCAACAGUAUCUAAAGAAUCCAAAGAAAAGCUUACAUUCAACACUUUUAUGAAAAAAAUGUGUGUUCCUCUCCUAUAAGUCGAAUGCACUAGCAGAAGUUGAAACAAAAGGUUUUAUUACAUUGGCAAGAAAUCAAAGACAUAAAAAAAAGAUUAUUUGUCUUGUUCAAAUAGGUAAAACAUUUCAUGAGUAAAGAGAGCAUUAUGUUGAGAAAGACAAGAGAGUAGUUGAAUUUUAGCUAUCUAUACAAUAGAAACUUGAUUUGAAGACUAAAAGAUAUCCAUAUAACCAUAAUGCUGACAUAAUAUUGUUUACUUUAGAUCUAAAAAAAAUAUUAAUGGGUAGACAUUUAACCUUAUUAAAGCCUGUAUUUCACUUUAUAUUGAUUUCCACUCAACUAAAACGUAAAACCUAACAUAAAAUGGAUUAGUUCGUUACAGUAACUAUCAAUUAGAAACAGAACUUUACAAAAACAAAAAUGCUAUGAAUCCCACUCACAAAAAGAAGACUUCUUAUUGAAUUAAUAAUAUUUCUCUAUUGGUAUUUGAUCUACUAUAUCUAUAUUUAGAUACUAAUCCAUCAGAAACUAAUUAAUAUACUCAAGAAUAUAUGCAUCUGCUCUAUCCAAAGAAAUAAUCAUAAUCAUCUAGGAGCCACCUCUGAAAUGCUCUGAAACGAAAUAACAGAAACCGACGACGAUCCUUGAUUAACAGCUGGGCUUUUCCCUUUGUAACCUUGUGUUGAUGAACUCUCCUGUGAGCUGCUACCUAUAAGACCGAGGCCACGGUGGUUGCCUCCCUUGUUGACACCUCUGUAGACACCAGGCUCCGUUAAGGCAGACUCGUUGAGCUUAAUCUCUUUCCUGCUAAGCAUCUCCACCACUUGCUUCAUGUUUGGUCUCUUUUGUGCCGCGGCUUGAGUGCAGAAUAGAGCUACUUUGAUGAAUCGUAUCACUUCUGCUUCAGGAAACUUGGUUAGAUAUGGAUCCACACACUCUAGUAGCCUCCCUUCUUCUCUCAGUUUCCAUACCUACCAAACCACAUAUUAACUAUAUAAACCAUUGAUCACAGAUAGUUUUGGACAAUUCGUCUCUUUUUCUCAAAUAGUUUAAGUACAUUUUUAAAUUAUAUUUCUGGUUAUUUUAUAUGUAAAUAUAAUUAUUAUUUAUAUAUAUUCGAAUAUACAAUUCGUUCUCGUUUUGGUUUCGGUUCGGUUUGUAUAUAUAAAUAUAAGAAUUUUUUGGAUAGUUAGGUAUUCAACAGUUUUGAUCCGGUUUUGGUUAUUUUAGUUUGAUUCUUUGAAUAUCGGGUAAAAUGCCUAGGCCUAUCACAACAAAGUUUAGGAUGUUUACAUUGACUUAUGUAUAUAUUGUGUGUUAAGGUAUUAGAGUUCAUAAGCUUUACCCAUUCGACCAGAACCAAUAACUCGUCUGUAAAGGCAGCUCUGCUGCUACUACCACCACUUAUGACUUCAAGCACAAGUAUUCCAAAGCUGUAAACAUCUGCUUUUUUUGUUAACUGUCCUAGAAGUGCGUAUUCUGGGGCCAAGUAUCCCCUGUAGUGUCAGACUUCAUUAGCUGAAAACAUCUGUAGAGGAAAGACGGAUACAUACAUGAAACGAUUCUUACACUGUUCCAGCUACUCUGGUACUAAUGUGAGUGACAUUGUCUGGAAAAAGCUUUGCCAGCCCGAAAUCUCCAAUCUUGGGACAAAAGUUUCGGUCUAGUAAGAUAUUACUGGCCUUUAUGUCGCGGUGAACGACCUGAGGCUCGACUUCCUCGUGAAGGAAAGCUAAACCUGAAGCUGUCCCAACGCAAAUGGCUGCACGUUUGGACCAAUCAAGUGGAACAUACUUACUCCUUGAACCUAAAAGAUCACUCAAAACAACAUCAGGAGAAAGACAGGACACACUGUGUUGGACUUGGUAGACGAAUGUUACCAAGCAAAACACUAGCAAGACUGUUGUUCUCAAGGUACUCAUAGACGAGAAUCCGAUUGUUCCCUUCGAUGCAGCAGCCAAUGAGGUUAACCAGGUUAGGAUGAUGAAUGUUGGAUAUCAAGUUGAUCUCAGUCAAGAACUCGCGUGUGCCUUGUUUGGAUUCUGCUGAAAGUGAUUUCACUGCUACUUGUGUACCAUCUCUCAAUACUCCCUGCAAGAUUCAAGAACCAUGUUGUUGCAUGAUUCACCAGAAACAUCAAACGUAACAUUUCUCACCUUGUAGACAACGCCAAAGCCACCACCUCCAAUUCUGGUAGAUGGAUGGAAGUCAUCUGUGGCUGAUCUUAAUGAGUUAUAUGAGAAGACCCUCACAUUGUCGGUGAAAAUCUCUGAAUCAUUCAAAGAACCAUAGAUCAUUUAAUUCAAGAACCAUUUUCUUUAGCAAAAAAAAAAGAUCACUAAAUUGAAUUGGUCAACCAUUUUUGAUGAUUCUUUAGCUUAAAAUUAAUGACUACAGACAAAAGAACUUGUACAUCAGUACAAACGUAUCAAUGGAAUGGUUUGCAUAUACCUUCAGCUUCUUUCUGACCAAGACGAUCAUUUCUUUUGCACUUAUCAAGAACUCUGAAGCAAUUAAAGGGCAUCACAAGAUCCAGAGAGAAUAUAUACAAGAAUCACUCCUGGAUGCAGACUAAAUCUGGAUUUGAUAGAGAUGUAAGAACGAAAAGUUUCCUACAAGAACCUCAAAUUUGACCUGUCUUCUGGAUACAAACUGAAUCUGGAGGAAGAAGAAGAUUAUGGAUUUGUUUGAAAAAACUUGUUUAGUGGGGUAAAUUUCUUUGGCACAAGAAGACCAGAGAGUUUAAUCAAAGAGAAAAAUCAUCAUGAAUUUGCUUUUUCAAUCUUUUUCGUGUGGAUGACAAUAAAUUAUUUAGUAACCAAACCAAACACAGUCGGGACAUAUGAACAGUGAAUAUGCUGAGACAAAAAAAAAAAUCUCGAAAGCGACAGCUACAAGACGACGUGACUGAUAUAAUUGAUAAUGUUUCAAAACUUGUUUUUAACACAAAAAUAUUUUUUUACAAAAGAAAAAGAUUGUUUUAGAUAUUAAACAUGAGUGAUUUACCUACAUAAACAUUGUAUGUUGCAUGAUCUUGUUUGUGUGUGUAUUAUAUGAACAUUCAACUUAUCAAAUGAACUUUCAUUUUCACCGUAUAAAUGUUCUAUUUAUUAUUUCGGAACUCUAUUAUAUCACUAGGGAUUAACCCGGGCUACGCCCGGGAUUUUUAUUUUUUUCUAAUUUAAGUUUUUAAAUUAUUUAUAUUUAGGUUAUGAUAUAUAUUUUUUAUAAAUCUUAAGAUGCAUGUCAUAAUUAAAAUUUAUUUUAAAUUUUAACACGUUCAAUUAACAUAUUUUUACUAUUUAAAUAUUUUUUUUGUAAUUUUGUUGGCUAUCUAAUUAUCAUAUUUAGCAAAACUAUCUGUUGAGUGUUGGAAUAAAUGUUUUAGAUAUUUAAUUAAACUGCAGAGUAUUUUCGGAUCGAUCACAUGCUCAACAAUCGAUCGAUCCGUAAAAAGAUGGUCGAUCUCCUUGGCCAGGUAAGUACAAUUUUAGCAAAAAUAUCUUUGAUUUUCAAAUAUUAAGUAUAUAAGUAUUCUUUUGGAUAUUCUCUUUUUGAAUUGUAUUUUUUGAUUAAAUUAUUGUAUUAUAAUGUUUAUGUAAAUAUUUUUUUGUGAUGUUUGAAUUUGUUUUGUUCGUAUACUUAACCUAGAUGAUAUUGAUGUUUAACAAUUUAUUAUUUUCUAGAAAUAAAAAAUAAUGAUAUAUCAAAACGUAUCUAAUACUUGUUAAAUGAUACUAUAAUGUAAAUUACAUCCAUUAUUUAAAAAUAACCAUUUGUUGUUUUUAUUUUUUUUUAAAUCAGAAAUUAUUUUUAUUUAAAAACAUUAUUCAUAUAUAAUAUAAUAGUUUAAGUUUGGAAGAUUAAUAUAUAUAUAUAUGAAUUAUGUGUAUGUUUUAAAAAAUAAUUUAAGAUGUUAUAUAUUGAGUAACUGAAUAAAAUCUGAAUUUCUUAUCUUGAAAAUCAAAUAAUUAUAUUUUUGUCUUCGUGUUAUACUCAUCAAUCCAUCAUUGAUAUUUAUAACUCAGUAUGCUUAAAAAAAACUUAGUUUGAAGUAAUAAAUGAAUUUAAUAAAUUAAAUUCAUCACCUAUAAUGUUCUGUAAACUAUAUUUGAAAACUCUCUACAAUUAUAUUUUAAGCAUAAUUACUAUUAUUUAAUUUAAGUUAUUUUAAGCAUAAUAUAUGCUAAAUCAACUUAAAUUAUAUUUACAAUAGGACCAUCCUAAACCGGUUAAUAAACCAAAAACAAUACUAAACCAACAUGAACUAAUACCUGAUUCGGCGAGGAAGGAAGUGUUCCGUGAUAAACGCUUGAAUGGAUAUUAACUGUAAUGGUUUGAUCAUGAAAGAGUUAGUAUGAAUAUUAACAAUAAAAUUAUGGAUUAGAUUAAUUUAAAUUUGUAAGAAUACCUUUGAGUCUAUGAAAAACAAUUCAAUUCCCAUGAAUAAGUUUGCCCUUUGGAAGUUGCGGGGUUCCCAACAAUGAAUCCACCUAAUAAAAAGUUCGUUCUUAUAAAAAAUCUCCUUCAAGGUCGUUAAAAGUUUUUGGACGGCAAGAGUUAAUGGUGGAACCAUUUUUUUGCUCGAGUGCUUUGAAGCUUUCCUUGAUAGUGUGAGGUUGAUGUUGAUAGUAUAAUGAGUUUUAUAGGGACUUUCUUGAUGUAAAACUAUACUUUUUUUUAAUGUGGUAUUUCCAUUUUUAUAUAAUUUAUUACCAUUUUAAGAUAGAUGUACAUUUUAAGAGAGAUGUUUAAAUCUUAAUAUACUUUUUCCAUUUUUUAAAAUGUUUAUUUCCAUUUCUUAUUUUUUUUUACGUAAUAUCUAUAUUUUAUAUUUUAAAAUAGAUAUUUAAAUCUUAAUGUACUUUUUCCAUUUUUUCAAAUUGUGUAUUUCCUUAUAUUAUAUAUUUUACAUUUUAAGAUAGAUGAUUAAUGCUUAAUGAACUUUUUCCAUUUUUUAAAUUUUGUUGUGUAUUUACUUAUUAUUAUAUAUAUAAUUCAUAUAUUAUAUAUUUACAUUAUUUACUUAUUAUUUACUUAUUAUUUAUUUUCCUGUAUAUGUAUUUCUAUUUCUUGUACUUUUUAUUUACUUAAUAUCUCUAUUUUACAUUUUAAUAUAGAUGUUUAAAUCUUAAUGUACGUUCAUUUGUUAUACUUUCUAUUUACGUAAUAUCUAUAUUUUAAAUUUUAAGAUAUAUUUUUAAAACUUAAUGUAAUUUUCCAUUUUUUAAUUGGGUAUUUACUUAUAUUAUAUAUUUACUAAUUUUUUUUAUAUUGUGUAUUUCUAUUUCUUAUACUUUCUAUUUACUAAUAAUUUUAUAUUUUAAGAUAGAUUUACAUUUUAAGAUAGAUGUUUAAAUACUAAUGUACUUUGUCCAUUUUUUAAAUUGUGUAUUUCCUUUUCUUAUACUUUCUAUUUGCGUAAUAUCUAUAUUUUACAUUUUAAGAUGGAUGCUUAAAUCUUAAUAUACUUUUUCCAUUGUUUUUAAGUUGUGUAUUUCUUUUUCUUAUACUUUCUAUUUACUUAAUAUCUAUAUUUUGCAUUUUAAGAUAGAUGUUUAAUAUUUAAUAUACUCUUUCCAUUUCUUAUAAAUUGUGCAUUUACUUAUUAUUGUAUAUAUAAUUUGUAUAUUUAUAAUAUUUACUUAUUAUUUAUUUUUCUAUAUAUUGAGUAUUUCUCUUUCUUAUACUUUAUAUUUAGUUAAUUUAUAUAUUUUAUAUUUUAAGAUAGAUGGUUAAAUCUUAAUGUAUUUUCCAUUUUUAGUGUAAAGCGGCAAUGUUCAAUAGAAGAACUUGGACAAAUAGUCAAAUAGUUAUAUUUAUGUUUUUUUUCUUUUUUUAUAUAAUGGUAAUGUUACAUUAUGGAGAUAAGCCGUUUUUUUAGUGAAAAUUGUAAGCUUACAUAUGUUUAAUGUAGUUUUUCUAUUUUUUUUAUGUUGUGUGUUUACAUAUUAUUGUUAUUUUUAAAUGUAAAAUGGUAAUCUUACAUAUGUUUAAUGUAGUAUUUCCAUUUUUUAUGUUGUAUGUUUACAUAUUAUUUAUUAUUUUCGAAAUUAUAUAUAAUGUUUUUUUACAAAAUAGUAAUAUUACAUUAUGGAGAUAAUCCGUUUUUUAGUGAAAAAUGGUAAUCUUACAUAUGUUUAAUUAAUGUAGUUUUUCCAUUUUUAUGUUGUAUGUUUACAUAUUAUUAUUUUUAAAUAAAAAUGUAAAAUGAUAAUCUUACAUAUGUUUAAUGUAGUAUUUCUAUUUUUUUAUGUUGUAUGUUUACAUAUAUUUAUUAUUCUUGAAAUUAUAUAUAAUGUUUUUUGUUUUUUUUAUAAAACGGUAAUGUUAUAUUAUGGAGAUAAUCCGUCUUUUUUUUUAAGUGAAAAAUGGUAAUCUUACAUAUGUUUAAUGUAGUUUUUCUAUUUUUUGUGUUGUAUGUUUACAUAUUAUUUAUAAUUUUCAAAAAUUUGUAAUAUUUUAUGCCACGUGUCAUCUUUCGAGAGAAGUUUUUUUUGCUAAUGUGGACGCUCUAUGGAGCCUCAAAAGGUCCCUUUUAUUAGUAGAGAUUAUUUAAUGUGUUAUCAAUACCUGUCUACAAAAAAAUAAUUAAUAAGUACAUAAUUCUUUUUGAAGCACAGUCAGUAAAAGGACUCUGAACUUUUUCCAUUUUUCAUUUGCGGAGUUUCAUUUUUAGUCAAAUGACAUUUGAAAAGUUUAACAGUGUCAUUUUAACAAAUCCUCUCUUAAGAAAAUGAAUCGCAGAAAAGUAUUUAACUUUUUAGUGGGCAGGUCGUUCCAUCUCUACCAUUGAGACUCUUUCUGUCUACUAUUGAGACUCUUUCAAGACCCUUCUGUCUAUAUGGCUUCGAUAAUGUCUUUUAGUGUCUUUACUUUUGUUCCAUCUUUUUUUACUAUAGUAACUUAGCAUAUUUGAACAUAAGCACUGAUAUCUAUCGUUAAGUGUUUGAUUACCAAACUACACGGCACAUUAAGUCUGACGUUGUUGUCAUUGUCGCCGUUCCACACUACCACGUGUAUCUCUUUUUCUUCUUUUUAUCUCAAAAAAAUUUGUCAACAUUUUAUGUUUUGGAGGAAAACAAAAACAAAUCGUCAUCAAACUACCCUUUACUUAGAUGUCAUCGUUAUGCUAAAAUAGAAAUCAUCGAAAGAGAAAAUUCAAUUGUCAACUUAAAGAUCCAAAAAAAAAUAUUCGCUUCCCAUCUUUAUUUUAUUAAUGCACCUGUUUAACUAUUAGUUUAUAUUCAUCGAUUGUGGUGGAGACAAGUUAUAAAGAUGUUCCCUUAUUUAUAUUGCUAACAUUAAUUCACAAUGUCCCAUUGGUUUAUAAAAUUUACAAAACGACACUAAAUUCAUUAAUUAUGUUAACAGUUUUUUGUGGGGAAAAUUUGCUCCUUUAAAAGUAUUGGGGUUGUUCUGUAUUUCUUGAAAAUAAAUUCCGUUGGCUUCCAGUUUCAAGUUAAGGCGGGUAUUUACACGUGGCAGAUACGAUGAAUCCCGCGUAUCUCAACCAAUAAGAUUCUAGCAAGCAAAAUGAUUAUUGUCUAGUUGCCGCCACACGCUCGCGACAUCACGCGCUAUAACAAUUGGGCCUUUUAAACUUGGACCCACGGCCCAAGUUAAAGUCUCCGGCUCGGUGAUCGGAAUCCGAUCAACCCGACGGUAACUUUUCUUCGUUUUCGACAGUGAAAAAGAUUUAAAAAAAAUGUUUUCACAUAUGCCAUUGUCCUUGGUGCAUUGUUGAAAGAAGACAAUCUUCUUUGUUGAAAGAAGACAAUCUUCUUUUACUAGCUUCGCUUAUUUUCUCCGCCGCGAGAUUUUAUCCCCGUCGUCUCUGUUCGCCGCCGCAACCUCCUCAGGGUAGGAUUAGGUCAAGGAUUUCGUCGGAUCUCGCGGAGGAGGACGGAGAUUGCUUCAGAUGGCGUUGACAGCUUCCGAUUUACCGGCGAUGUACUCGUUGCUAGCGAAUUCCAUGAGCGGCGACGAGUCCGUUCGUCGGCCGGCGGAGGCGGCUCUUUCUCAGUCGGAGAGUAGGCCUGGUUUCUGCUCCUGCCUCAUGGUUCGUUAUCUAAUCUAACGCUCUUAGCGCUUUGGAUUCUGCUAAUGCGAAGCUUGAUUGAUUCACUUCCCUCUCGUUUUUGGUUUGCAGGAAGUGAUUGCGUCUAAGGAUUUGGUGUCUCAUGUGGACGUUAGGUUGAUGGCGUCUGUUUACUUCAAGAACAGUAUCAACCGUCAUUGGAAGAGCAGACGAAAUGCUUCAUCGUAAGUUCCAUCUUCUCCGGAAUUAAUUGGUGAUAAGUGGAUUGGUCCGGCUAUCUUAUAUAUUAUUAAGGAUCCCUUGAUUACACUUGCUGGCUGGGUUAGACUUUUGGAUGUGUAGUGGCGUGAGCUCCUUGAAGUUACUACUCUAUUACUUAGGCUUUGACACUCUUUGCUUGGAAUUUUCACAGGGGUAUAAGCAAUGAGGAGAAGAUUCAUUUGAGGCAGAAGCUGUUGUCUCACUUGAGAGAAGAGAACUACAAGGUGUUGUAACUUGUAACGUUAGCAUUCCGUGGCUGCAUCAACUGUGACAUAUAGUGGAAAUGUAUCUCAUUUUUAUUUUAUUUGUUGCAGAUAGCGGAGAUGUUGGCUGUUCUCAUAUCGAAGAUAGCCCGCUUUGAUUAUCCUAGGGAAUGGUCAGCAUUUUCAUUUGAUAACUCUAAUUGAUUGAUGACAGUAUCUUCUUUGGUUUGAGGGUUUUUUUGGAUUGAUUCUUUUAGCGAAAUAAAUGUUUUUUUUGUGCUUUGUGAUGUCAGGCCCGACCUGUUUUCGGUACUAGCGCAACAGCUUCACUCAGCUGACGUUCUUGCUUCUCACAGAAUCUUUAUGAUUCUUUUUCGAACUCUAAAAGAGUUGUCCACUAAACGUCUCACGGCAGAUCAGAGAACUUUCGCUGAGGUGUGUAUGCUACUAUGUCUUCAUCCCUUAGAUCAAUUUAUUUUCUCCUAUUGUGUAUAUUGUAGGAUCAAAGCUUGGAUCUUUGCUUUAGUUAAGGAUAAGGUCCAGUUUAUUUUGUUGGCAGAUCUCGUCGCAACUCUUCGACUUUAGUUGGCACCUUUGGCAAACUGAUGUCCAAACAAUUCUACGUGGCUUUUCAACAAUGGCUCAGAGCUAUAGUUCAAAUAGUGCCGAGCAGCAUCACGAUGAGCUUUUUCUGACUUGCCAGAGGUGGUUUCUAUGUUUGAAAAUAGUCCGCCAACUCACAAUUUCUGGAUUUCAAAGCGAUGCCAAAAGCAUACAGGUAGAUUACACUAUACUUCUCCGUGAUACUUUUCAGUCCUUUAUUACAUCCAUGUUCAUUUAUCUUCCUUCUAUGAACUAGUGGUAUAUUUUCACCAAAGACGUGUUACGUUGACCCCGAAAUUUCUUCUUUUAGCUUCCGUAGUUAAGCUGAAUCUAUAACCUUAGUAGAUUGAUAAACUAUUUCGGAAUAUAGAUGUCGCUCUUUCUUUCAGACAUUUACUCUACAUGCAGAUAUAUGAUAUACAGCUAACUCUUUUCUUUCAGGAGAUUAAACCAGUGAAAGAAGUAUCUCCUCUGCUCUUGAAUGCGGUUCAGUCGUUUCUUCCAUAUUGUGAGUUUGUUUUUAGCUGAUGAACAUUUUUUCAUGCAUAUGACAAAAGCACAUAGAACUAACUCUAUAUUAAAGAUGUUUUUUCCUCCGUUUGUUUAUGCAGAUUCAUCUUUUCAGAAUCGAGAUACUAAAUUCUGGGAGUUUGUAAAGAAGGCAUGUGUCAAGCUGAUGAAAGUGUUAGCCGCAAUCCAAAGCAGACAUCCUUAUUCCUUUGGAGAUAAAUGUGUUCUUCCAGUCGUAGUGGAUUUCUGCUUAAACAAGAUAACAGAUCCUAAACAGGCAUCGUUGCCGUUUGAAGAGUUUUUUAUUCAGUGUAUGGUGAUGGUGAAAUCUGUACUUGAGUGUAAAGAGUAUAAGCCUAGUCUAACUGGUCGAGUGAUGGAAGAAAAUGGAGUUACAUUUGAGCAGAGGAAGAAGAAUGCUUCAAACGCAGUUAGUGGCAUUGUGUCUUCACUUUUACCCAACGAAAGGAUUGUUCUUUUGUGCAACAUACUAGUGAGAAGGUAUCCUUCUAACCAAUAAUAAGAUGUGUGAAUCCAAGUAUCGUUAUUGUAUGGACAUACUCAGCCAUGCAACAUUCAGGAGAGUCACUGACGUGCAUGUAAAAUAUUUGAGAAGGGAUUGUUACUCUUGGGACCUUCUGGAUUUAGUUUGAAAAAUAUUGCAUGGAUCGUCUUAAUGCUGUCAUGCAUUCCUACCUCCAUACAGUCACCGCUCUAUGGUGGUCGUAUGAAUGAUGGCGGGGAAAAUACUUUACUAAAAUUUAAUCAUCAACAUUUCAACAGGUAUUUUGUUCUAACAGCAAGUGACCUAGAGGAGUGGUACCAAAACCCUGAGUCCUUUCAUCACGAGCAGGACAUGAUUCAGUGGUCUGAGAAAUUGAGGCCUUGUGCAGAAGCUCUAUAUAUGGUUUUGUUUGAGAACUACAACCAAGUAAGUAGCAGAUAGUCUUAAGCAUUUCAGCCUGUUCUGAAAAGUAUGCUAAAUCUAACCCAAAAAAUAAGAGACAAGAAGUCUGCUAAUUUAUAUAAACUGAUACUUACUCUUUCUGUCUUCAUUGUUGUGAACAGCUCCUAGGACCUAUUGUUGUGUCCAUCCUUCAAGAAGCAAUGAAUAAUUGCCCCCCUUCUGUCACUGAAAUAACACCAGCGCUACUUCUUAAAGAUGCAGCAUAUGCUGCUACUGCAUAUGUCUACUAUGAGCUCUCGAAUUAUCUUAAUUUCAGAGAUUGGUAUGCUCUUUGAUCUUUUAAUGCCUACGCUAUUUUCAUCUCGUUUAAACAUGGCUGUGUAAUUCGUAACGAAACCUUCGUUUUGCCAGUCAGCAGAAUGUGACAAGAGUUUUUGAUUAGUUAAGUAAAUAACGUGCCCUUCUUAAUGAUCGGGCGAUUUGGAUGCAGGUUUAAUGGUGCACUAUCCCUUGAGCUGUCAAAUGACCAUCCAAAUAGGCGUAUCAUCCACCGAAAAGUAGCAAUGAUAUUGGGACAUUGGGUUUCAGAGGUAAUGUUGUUUUACUUUGGCUUUACCUUUUUUAUGCUGCAAAUAUUGACUACACUUAGAGGGAAUUGCAUCUUAUGUUCUGUAGAAAAUGCAUCUUAUCACUGCAUGAAAGAUGAUUAUGGCAUAAAUAUGCAAAAUGAAGUAAUGUCUUGUCCGAAUAAGUUGAGUUAGAGGAAUAAUCAUCCAAAAGCAAAACAAUUUGGCUAUUUUGUAACAAGAGGUUAAUAGGAUUAGCUGCCCUGUUGAUUUUUGUUAUCUACUCUACCAUAGGUUUUCUUAAUUAUUUAUUUGUUUGAAAAUUUGUUGGCUGAUGGUUUAUGACUGAUGAUAAUAACCUUUCAGAUUAAAGAUGACACAAAAAGAGCAGUCUAUUGUUCUUUGAUAACAUUGUUACAGGACAAUGACCUCGCUGUAAAGGUAGUCUCAUCCUAUCACAUAUUUGUUGCUUUUCUCUUACUGUCUUGCAUUAAGGUCGGAUUUUACUCCCGUUUUUUUUUGUAUUUUGUUAGCUGCCUCUGAGAUUUUCUGUUUGCUUAUGUAGCUGGCAGCUAGUAGAUCAUUGUGCUUACAUGUUGAGGAUGCGAAUUUCUCGGAGCAAUAUUUUAUUGAUCUUCUUCCAAUCUGUUGGGAGUCAUGUUUCAAAAUGGUUGAGGAAGUUCAAGAGUUUGAUUCGAAGGUACAUGAUCUAGCUGCCUCAAAUUCAUUCCAGCCUUCCAUUCUUGUCAUUCUUCUUCCUCAAAUGACGCAGACGGUUCUCUAUCUCUCCAUCUAAUUAUCCUUUCUUUUUUCUCAGGUUCAAAUUUUGAACUUGAUUUCUGUUCUUCUUGGGCAUGUUAGUGAAGUCAUUCCGUACGCACAAAAGUUGGUGCAAUUCUUCCAGAAGGUAUAAUAUCAUUUUUUGCUCUAUAUGUUUAUUCAAAUCUUGGUGCUCAAAUGACGCCUUAUUAUCUAUGUGCUUGACUUAAUAACAGGUGUGGGAGGAAUCUUAUGGUGAAAGCCUUCUACAGAUUCAGCUUCUUGUUGCACUACGGAGUUUUGUAAUUGCGCUUGCUUAUCAGUCUCCCAUUUGCUAUAGCAUACUGCUUCCAAUUCUCCAAAAGGGAAUUGACAUUAAUAGCCCUGAUGCACUCAACCUUCUGGAAGAUAGCAUGGCAGUAAGUUUCCACUUCGUAACAUAUAUACCUUUCUUUUCUGCUGAUACAAAUGUGAUACAAAAAUGACGCCGAACAUAUGCAGUUAUGGGAAACCACACUUUCCUAUGCUCCUAUGAUGGUGCCCCAGCUACUAGCAUGCUUUCCCUAUAUGGUGGACAUCAUUGAAAAAAGUUUCGAUCACUUACAGGUUAGCUUUUUAAGUUUUCAAGGAGUUAACGUUUUGAUUCGUUAAUAACGUAAAGUCGCGGCUCAGAUCUACUGAAACAUGCUGUGUCAGUCAUACCUUAAAGACAUUCAAAAUGACCAUAUGCCCCUUAAUUUUUGCACUAACAUCUUAACCAAAAGUAGGUUGCUGUCAGUAUCAUGGAAUCAUACAUCAUUUUGGAUGGAGGGGAAUUUCUUAAUAUGCAUGCUUCAAGUGUAGCAAAGAUUCUUGAUCUUAUUAUUGGAAAUGUAAAUGAUAAGGGGUUACUCUCGAUUCUUCCGGUGAUUGACAUCUUAGUUCAGGUGCGUUUCAUUUCUCACUUUCUUAAUUACAAACCCUUAUCUUUUGGAUUACAUAUAAAUUGACCAGUGAUGGAACUUUUAUUGCAUCAUUACGAUGUACAGUGUUUGUCAUGACUGUUUUUAUAUAUGUAUAUGUUUGAAAGUGUGGACAAAUAACAACUUCUUGAUUUAAAGUAUUUUCUCUUGUAUUGAACAGUGUUUUCCUGCGGAAGUGCCCCCUCUCAUCAACAGCUGUUUACAGGUAAAUUUCGAGUUCUCUUUUUGAUUGAUGAAAGAUUCAUAUUCUUCCUUGAAACACUUGUUGGCAUCUCUCAGAAACUGGUUAUUAUUUGCUUGAGUGGUGGGGAUGACCGAGAUCCAUCCAAGACGGCAGUUAAAACGUCUUCAGCUGCUAUCCUGGCGAGGAUUCUGGUGGUGAACACCACUUACUUGGCCCAGUUAACAUCUGAUUCAUCUCUCUCAGUGUUACUCCAACAAGCAGGGGUCACAAUCGAAGACAGCGUACUCUUUUGCCUCACCGACAUUUGGCUCGACAAGGUCAGUGGUGAACGUAUUUUGAACAACUGGUUGUUUGACCAGCUUUCUGGAACUUUUAACUUGUUUUAGAAUGUGCUUUGCGGAAUCUUUAAUGUUGUUAAAUGGUCUUUCGUUUUGAUCCUAAGCAAUAGCUCUUUUCUAAACCACUCUGCAUUUUGCAUAUUAUCCUCCGACUCACUUUAUUAUUACAUCUACUCUUGUGCAGGUGGAUAAUGCGUCUCCCAUGCAAAAAAAGACAUUUGGAUUGGCUCUUUCCAUAAUACUUACACUUAGAAUGCCUCAAGUUCUUGACAAGCUUGAUCAAAUACUAAGGUACAUGCUUGCACAAUCGAAUAUUAACAACUGGAUUUAUGUAUCUAUUUAUGUAUCUAUGUUGAUCGUGUUUCUGGAAACAGUACAUGCACCAGUGUAAUCCUUGGUGGAGACAGAGAUCUAACAGAAGACGAAUCAAGGUUAUAUUAAGUUUAAAUGCUUGUAGAAAUAUUUAGUUUCCAAGCCAGUUUUGUGAUUUGUUAUUGAACUGUUAACACUUCAAUAUUAUUAUCUGAAAAACUUACGAUUUGUAAUUCCAGCGGUGACAUGAGUUCAAGCAGGUCUCAAGGAGAAGGAACCCCACCUAGCAAAGAGUUACGUAAAAGUCAGGUAAAAGCUAGUAAUUUUUUUUUAACGAAGCAGCUUCCACAAAACCACUGAUUCUAACGCAGUUUGUAAAUUUUUCUAUCUUGUUAUAAGAUCAAAGUUUCCGAUCCAAUCUACCAGAUGUCAUUGGAGAAGUCAGUGCGUGAGAAUCUUCAGACAUGUUCCACAUUGCAUGGAGAUGCCUUCAAUUCUGCAAUUAGUAGGAUUCACCCAUCAGAGCUUGCACAAGUGAAACAAGCUUUAAAACUGCCGUGAUUAUAUAUUAUUUUGCCUCUUCAUUGGUUGAUUCCAUAUCACUUAAAAGAGCAGCAGUAUUCAAGUGAGUUUCUGAUCCCUCAUUAUUGAGUCUUGUAUUUGUAUAUGGUAUGGUGAUGUAUCUCCACCUUUUGAGCUGACUCGCAACUUAAUCAUAUCUGUUCAGGUGAAUGAGUGAGUUUUUCUUCUCUUUACCAUAUGCGUUGUCUCCUCUGCGUCCUUGGCGGUUUGAGGAACUCUGGUACGUGCGUUAGGUGCGUCUCUUUGAGCUCCCCGUGGGAUUUUUAGCCCUGCAAGGACAAAAGGAGAGGGUCGUUAGAACUUCUUUUUACUUUCAUAUGCUUGAGUUUAAUAUGUCAGUUCAUUCUUUCAAAACCAACACAGAACAUCAGUUAUAUUCGGGUACGUUGUGUCCCAAUAGUUAUAUAUGAAGAGAAGGGUGGGAGUUGUUAAGAGUUUCAUUCUUCACGUUCCUACUCUGUUGAUUUAUUUAUUUUUCCAGAAUUUGGUUUCAUUAUGCUAUCGUUUCGUGAUUCAUUCUCAACGGCUUCAAUCGAAUAUUUUCUUGAUUCGAGAUUUUAUGCAAACUAACAGAGUUUUAGGCAACUAAAAGGCCAUAUGUUGGUGGCUAUAUCAAAUUUUAUUAAAUAGCUUAAUCACAUUUUCAUGCACUGAGAAAUUCUUGUAUUAAUGAUCACCAACAAAUCCAAAAUGGUAACUAAUCACUUUUCCAGAAGACUCUUCACUUGCGGUACUGUCGAAUCUCUUUUACAACGCCGUCGGUCAACGAGUCAACAUCAUGAUUCUUUCCGUAAAAUUUCACAAAACUCAUCUCCGGACUCAUCAAGUACCUAUAUUCCACACAAACCAAAUAUCAAACCUCCAACUCAAAAGAAACAAUCAAAAACACUACCAUAAGCUUCCUAACAAAUACUCUGUAAAAGGGAUAAUAAGUAGACACGUACAUGACGAUAGAGUGAUCAACGAGAUAGUCUGAAUCUUCCUCUUCUGUCUUCAUGUAGUACACCCUGUAAGAACGGGCCACCGAUUUGAUUUCUUCAGGGCUCCCAGUUAACCCAACCAGUUUCGGAUGAAAUUCUACAAUAAACCAUAUGAAUUUUCAUUUCAAGAAACAAAAUCAUCUUUACCGAGUUAAGAAGAUAAUCUACUCUACCUUUGACAUAUUCAUGUACUUGUUCAACUGUGUCUCUUUCAGGAUCCACAGAGAUAAACACUGGAACCACAUCUACUCCAGACUUUUCCUCUGUGUAAAAAAUGUGAUACAACCUUAGCGAAAAACUAUACCCACACAAAAUGAAAAAAAAAAUGCUAAGGAAACUCACUGAUUUUGUCAAUGGAAGCAGAUAACUUAAUAAGCUCGUCAGGACAGAUAUCAGGACAAUGAGUAAACCCAAAGUACAAGACGGUCCAUUGUCCCAUCAGGUCUUUCUCCGUAAUACGCUUCCCAUCGUCUCUUACAAGACUGAAUGGUCCUCCAAUGGCUGCUUUUCCAGCAGAUGGUCCCUCCUUCACGGCUAUAGAACUUGUAUUUAUAUCUAACGACACCAUCAAGAAACCAGGUCAAUAUACAAAAAAAGAAUAAUAGUAGACCAGUCCUAGAAUCCUAGUAUACAGUGUUUAUCACGUAACGGUACUCUACAUGAUAAAGUUGUGACAUUGCUAGAAAAAAAGCAAACUCACCAUGAGAUGAGUACCUUGGAUAUGACGUUUCUUCUCCCUAUCAUAAUAGUAGACCAGUCCAGCACCAGUAGCAAACAGCAGGAAGAAGCUCAUCCACGAAACCGGCUUUAUUUACCAAAAUGCCACCAUCAAGACAUCAUCAUUAAGUCUUUUAACAGAACCAAGAGUUUAGGUAAUGGAAACAUCUAUCAAAAAAAAAAACGAUUUACCGCUCCGCGAACGUCUUUUCCGGAAGCUCGUUCGUUUUUCUGAUCGGAUCCUCCGGAUUUUGUUUCCGGGUCGUUGGAUUUAGGAAGCUUAGAGGUUGUAUCGGAAGCGAAAGUGCUCAGCAAACAUCUCUGAUUCAUUUUCAACCGUUCGAUUCCACAGCUAAGUGAAAAUAAUUGUCGAACCGAUAGAGGAAGAGAGGAAUCUCCAUGACGAAGCGCGUCGGAGAUGCAGGGAGGAGAUUGUAGAUAGCUUGAGGCGCGAAGUCGGUGAACGGAACGAAGACGGCUUGCUGUUCUACAUAGAGCAGACGCCAUUUGACGUCGGAUCGGAGUUUUUCACUGGGGGUUUUAGUCUGAAUAGAACAAGAGAAGGUUUUUUAGUUUUACAAUGUAAUAAACUUCUAGUAAACGGCAAGGUUUGCACACGCCUUUCAAUAAAACACCAUACUGUUUAGUACGUUAGGCCCACUGUUGUCUAGCGUUACGGCCCAUUAAGCUAGUUUAAGACUUUAGGUAUCCUUUAAUUUUAUGUAUUUACGUUUUCCACCCUAAAUUAACACAUUUUUAUCAAUAUACUCCGCCUCUAUCUCAACCAUAAAGAUUAGUAUAUUUUGGUGAACUUUACGGUUAGGCAGUCAAGAUUAUAACAUUUGUUUCCCAAACAUCUAUUCAGUUACAGGCCUCUUUAACCACAAGGAAAUCUAUGGCAGUCUAAGGCAACGUCUUGUGAAAUGAAAGGCUUCUCAUUACAUAAUCUCGCAUCAGAAGAGAGUACCAUACAAUAAACCAAGACCAAGACAGGACAGCUAACAGUUACACAAUCAGACAGUAAAUACAUAAUAAAAAUAAUGAUAAAAAAUAUUAAAAAGGAAGAAAAAAAAACUCAUAAGCACAAGCAGAGUCUCCAGGUACUUCCGGUAUGAUCCGAAAACAAAUCAGACACUUUUGUGUGGACAGCACUCAAUCAGAUCCCCCAGUGGAAGGGAAACAUUUUUACAUUAAGAAGAGAGCUGGAAACGGGCGCUAGGUUUCUUUCUUCUCCAUCCCUACCAGAAACACAAGAAACAAUCUUCAUAACAUUUAUACAGAAGACAAAACUGGGGAGGUAACAUGAAUGAUGAAAUAGGACUUACGAAAGCAAUGUAGUACAGGAAGGUCAAUCCAGCCAGGAUAACAAACCCGAUUUGGAACACGUUGUACCUGAGAUAUAUACCACAUCGACCUCUUAAUAAGACAAGAGACAGAUACAGUUUAAAAGACUGCUAUGUGCUAAACCGUUACUGCUUACUUGUAGAGGUACUUGAUUCCUCGGAGUGACUGCAACGUGUGGCCAAAGAUCUCCUGGGCAGCAGUGGCUUGAGCGUAGUAUCCAAAUGCAGUGGCGCAGAAUUGAAUCACACUGCAAUUUAAAAGAACCAUCAGUCACUUCAAUUGUCAGGGACUCUGACUCAGGGCUUAACAUUUAGUGUAGCCUACCUGAUUGAACAAAGAAGAAUGAGGCCAACAUUGAAGAGGAAAGAGUUCAUUAAAGUAGCUCCCCAUCUGAAAACAAAGUCCAAAUGGCCCAAUUAGCAAUUAAAGAUAAUUGGAAAAUAGCCAAACACUGUUAAAAACCAAUAGAUGUGGUUUACUUCAUGGGAUGAAUGGUGAUGAAGACAAGCUUCAAACCCAGCAUCAUUGCCCCAGCGAUAACAGCGAGUAGAAGGUAGAAACAGAAGAAAGCAAAGGCAGCAGUGCCAAGAAGACCUAUAGAAUCCCGCACAUACAAACAUAGAGUCAGGCAGAGGUAUGAGGAACGUUAAUAUAUAGAAAGAACAGUAAGUAAGAACUUACCCCAAACGUCAUCAAGCUUAAUAAAAACCUCGUUAAGAAAAGGGGAAAGAGGAGGGUCGACAAGUAGAUAUAUGAUGAUGUGUGCCACCCAUGCAAUAGAAACGAUCAAUCUACAUAGACAUUAAAAAGACCUCUAUGAAUGCUUAUAUAAAUUCAAGCCAGUAAACUAAGGCCAUAACACCAGAAAAAAAAACUGUGAAGAAGACUAUUUUAAAACAAAAUACUAACCCUAUGAUUCCAAGAAUAAACUUGGCCAAGUAUCCUAGUACAGUGAAAGCCCAGGCAGUUUCUGCCUGAAAAAAAAGCCAUAGAAUAGUUAAAUAACACAAAGAAUGUAGAUAUAGUUGUAAGAAAUACACUCGUCUUACCUUCUCUCCUUGAGGAUACGCUUCUUCUAAGAGGUUCACAUCUUCCUCCAAUUGGAGCAACUCCUGCAGGUUAACCACAUUCAAUUACAGGAUCAAGGGGACAUUAAGAACUCAAAAUUCAGGUAGAUUUUCCAAUUUUAAUUAUGAAACAAAACUGAGAGAAGAUACCAAGUAUGUACCUUUUCAACUGCUUUAACAUUUUUCCUCCAUGCCCUGCCCUUAGCACCACCUUUUUCUUCCUGACGAAGUCCAUCGGCUGCUUUCUUUAGUUCUCUAGCCUUUUUCCCUAGCUCAGUUGCUUCCUGUAAAACAUUACGGAGUUUAUUUAGAAAUGACUCAAGAAGUAGAAGACAUGAAACCCUGAGAAGAACAAUAACCAAACCUUUAUAUAUUGUGAUCGAGUGAUAACAGCCUUUGGUCGCCGGAUGAAUGCAGUGAUAAGUCCUAAUGGUAGGCAGGCAAUACCAACGCCACCAAAUAUCUAGAAACAUUGGAGAGAACAAUUAGUUAUCAGAUUUUUUAUAUGGGAAUCUCAAAUUAAAACAGCAAUUAGCUACAAAAGAUACAAAUCCAUUAUAAAAGACAGUUCCUAUCCUAUCCUAUCCUUUCCAAGCAUACAUGGCACUUCUCAACAAGAUAGAAAAAUGCUCAUACCGUGAAAAGAACUGAACCAACAAUGGUAGCAAGAGCAACAACGUAUUCUGGGAAAGUAGUACGCAUGGUCCACGUUUUCUCAGAUGCGACGCUAGCUGUAAAUGCUGAGCACUGCAUCGAUUAAACCAGAGAGAGAGAGAGAGAGGAAAUAUGUUACAAGCUGAAAAUCUUCAAUGGCAUAAACGAAUCAUGAUAAGCAAAUAUUACCUGGCGGGCGGUGUUACCAAUACAUGGUUGAUUAUUUGAAAAUUGCCAGGAAGUAGGGAAAGAGGUCGUGCCAGAAGCCAAGUGCCUGACAGAGAAAUCCACCUUUCCAAUAACACCUAACAUGAUGUAAAGGAGAGUGAAUCCAAUGAAUGCAAAAUCAAACGCAACCAUGAACGGCUAAGUAAGAGUUCAAUAACUGAGAGUUUAUAACUUCAGUAGGUAAGAUAAAGAUGUUACCAACAACUAUAAGCUAUUCCUAGCAGAAACAUGACAAAAUAUCUCAGCACAAGCCCUAAUGAGGUAACUUAUCAGCUGAAAUCAACAUAGAAAUGCAGUUCACAGAUGCCAUAUCAUAGUGAAGAGAAGACCAACAUUGGUUUUAGCCAACAGAAGACUAACCGUAUAAGAUUCCGAGCACCAGAGCACAAACAACAGCCGUGCUUACCACCCAAAGCAAGGCACUUUUAAUCCUUUUCCCCAUAGUCCUGAAGAAAAAAAAAACAAAGCAAGCCCACAACACAUUCAUCAACAUUCAACCAAAACAAAAUACAAUUUAAAAAAAAAAACAAAAGGUGAUUAAUUUCAUCAAAAGACACGAACUUCUCCUGGUCCCCUUCAUAGAAAAACAUAGCGAAAGGGAUAACAAAGAACACGAGGAUAGCGUCAACAAUGUAAACCGCAAGCCAAAGAUCCUUCAUAGGCAACGUCAGAUUACACGCUCCGUUGUAAAUCGCGUGCCUACAAGCGUGCCGAUUCGCCACGUCAGCCGGCAGCAUGAGGAUCGAGAUCAUGGCAAUGGAGAGGCCGAAGACGACGACGAACUUGGGGAAAUACGCCUGGUUCGCAUCGUCUGGAUGCUGGUAGUUGACGAGGAGGUAGACGCUAGAGAUGAAGACGAUGACGCAGACGACGAUCGCUACGAUCACGAGAGCGAGGUUGAAAUCGCCCAUCCGAUUCGAGAGGUUCCGAUCCCGAUUUGAAGAUGUAGGGACCCAAUUGCAAAAAGAAAAAAGCUAGGGUUCGAAAAUUUUGAAAUUGAAUUUGGGGAUUUUAGCAGAUCUGAUUUUGUUUCCCUCUGGAGAAACCAGACAGAGGAAGGAGGUGAUGAACAUUCUUAAAUUACAUCCUUGCCCUCAGUUAUGUGAUGUAAUUACGUGAAUACGGCGCCAGUGCCAGGUGGCUUUGGGUAUAAAUGUCAUUCUCAAUCGGGAGUCCAGCUGUCCGAACUCCGAAGCACCAUGAUUCAGACAACUAAUGAAAGUGAUCUUCAGGUAAUAAAAUACCUUAACCGGCGCCGUACGGGUUCUAAUGUAGAAUCAAUGUUGGGCUUCUAAAACCAAUUAUACUAUUGGGCUUUCAUGAAGUUUAUGGCCCGAUACUAAUGGGCUAAAUUGUAAACUAAUAAAAUAUUUGUGGCCGCUAAGUGUAAAUUAGUUGUAUCCGGUUGACCUUGGUAUAAAUUCUGCACACUCAAACCGAACCGAGAAAACCGCUCGGAGAUUAAUUAUCACGUUUAUUAUAACUCCAAACCGGUACGGUUUGAUCGAGUUGAGAUGUAACUGAAGAAGAUCAAGUUGAGAACAACGAAGAGCGAAUCAAAGAGGAGGAAGAAGAGCAAUGGGGGUCGAUUAUUACAAGGUUCUUCAAGUGGAUCGGAGCGCGAAAGAUGACGAUUUGAAGAAAGCUUAUCGCAAACUCGCCAUGAAAUGGCAUCCCGACAAGAACCCUAACACCAAAAAAGAAGCCGAAGCCAAAUUCAAACAGAUCUCCGAAGCUUACGAUGUAAAUUUCUCUUACACAACUCGCGUUCAUUACAUACCCGACAAAACCCAUUUCGUUUUCCAUCGAAAGUUUCAAUCUUUGUCGGAAUUUGAAUAUUGAACAGUUAUGACAUUCCGACAAAACUGUUAAUCUUCUGUUCUUGUGAUGUUUUGAUUGAUUGCAUACCCGACAAAACCCAUUUCGUUUCCCAUAGAAAGUUUCAAUCUUUAAAUUGAAUAAGGACAGCUUGUUUGGGGACAAAGGUGUUAAUGCUCCGUUCUUAUGAUGUUUUGAUUGGUUGCAUUUGCCUCAAGGUACUGAGCGAUCCUCAGAAGAGAGCAAUCUACGAUCAAUACGGAGAAGAAGGUCUAAACAGCCAAGCUCCGCCUCCUGGCUCCGGCGGUUUUCCCGGUGGUUCAGACGGGGGAGCUUCGUUCCGGUUCAACGGUAGAAGCGCUGACGACAUCUUCUCGGAGUUCUUUGGCUUCGCGAGGCCCUUUGGCGACACACGUGGUGCGGGACCCUCUGGUGGUGGGUUCAGGUUCGCUGAGGAUGUUUUCUCUUCUUAUAGGUCUGCUACAGGAGAAGCUUCUAAUGCUCCGCCGAGGAAAGCUGCUCCUAUAGAGAGACAGCUUCCUUGUAGUUUGGAGGAUUUGUACAAAGGUAUCACUAAGAAGAUGAAGAUCUCGAGGGAUGUCCUUGAUUCCAGCUGGUACUUUCUUCAACUCGUUAGUCCUCUAUUCAUUUGUGUGAAGAAUAAAUAUUGAUUUGCAUGUGACGUUGCUUAUAGAGUCUUUACUUAGAAUAAAUAGUUGUGUUCUCUAGGCCUAGACGUUUUUACCAUAAACUUAAAUCUGAACCAACCAAAAAGGCCGAAAAUACCAAAAUUCUAUCUGAAUCGUUAUAAAAAAAAUAUCCAAAUGGGAUUCUAAGAGUUACGGACUAUAAAAUCAAAACUAGGAUUAGGAUUUGAAAAUAUCGGAAAUUAGUUAAAUAUGUUAAUGUUGUUAUAUAUGAUAAGGUACUUUAUCUAUUUAGAGUAUUUUAAAGACUUGUAGUUUGUUUUAUUUGUUAUUUUGAAUAUUUUUAGUCAGUUCAAGUAGCUUAACUAGUUUUUAAUUAGAUUUUUGAAUUAUUUAUAUGUUUGAGUGUUUUUGGUCAAUUUUUUAGUUUAAAAAAAAAAGAGAGAUUAGGUGAUUUCAAACAUUGGUUAUAAUCCCUUUCGAACUGAAGCCAAAAAUUAGUAAAACCGGAAUGGGACUUGUGAAUAUAGUACUGAAAAUCCAAAUCAACUGAACCGAAUCUGAAUGGUACACCUAGUGUUCUCUGUUACCAUGUCUCAGUUUUUUUAAAUCUAGAGAUUGGGAAGUGGAUUAGUUAUAUAAAGAUGUAAUUCUAGAUAUUAGUCGUUAGCCAUUGGAUAGAUUUUGUUGGACGUUUGGGAUCAUGACCAGUGAGCUAUAUGAGUUCUGUUUUACCAGAGUUGUUCGGCACUUGGCUUAGUGCACAUUCUCAUUUGCACUUUUGAGACAUUAGAGUUACUUCUUUGUUUACAACGCAGGAGACCCACAACAGUCGAAGAGAUCUUAACGAUAGAGAUCAAACCAGGAUGGAAGAAAGGAACUAAAAUAACCUUCCCUGAGAAAGGAAACGAGCAGCGAGGAAUCAUACCCUCAGAUCUUGUGUUCAUAGUCGAUGAAAAGCCGCACGCUGUGUUCAAGAGAGACGGGAACGACCUUGUGAUCACGCAAAAGAUCCCUCUCGUGGAAGCACUCACGGGGUACACUGCUCAGGUCACUACUUUGGAUGGGAGAACGCUAACGGUUCCUGUCAACAACGUGAUCAGUCCUACCUAUGAAGAGGUUGUGAAAGGCGAAGGCAUGCCGAUUCCUAAAGACCCGUCGAGAAAAGGGAACUUGAGAAUCAAGUUUAACGUUAAGUUCCCGUCGAGGCUAACGACUGAGCAGAAAACUGGAAUCAAACGCAUGUUUUCGUCUGCUUAGAUGUGAUUUAACUUUACACCAUCUCUGUCUUUCUGCUACGUGUGGUCUCAGUUAUUUCAGUUGGAUCUUUGGGUGGUCGUUGUGAACUUAGGUGUGACUGUUUUUUUUCUGGGAGAUUGUAAGAUCAUUAGUAUCUACUUACACAAUACUAUGUAUCUCUAUUUUUUGUUCUUUACUAAUAAGUUGUAUUUAGAUUGAAUAAAAAGAACUAGUUAAAGCUUUACUUUUGAAAAUUUUGAUUAUCUUCAUAAACUGUUCUUUUCUAUGCAAACCUCAAUAAAAAGAUCUUUAAAAUAGUUUUGAUAAAAAACGUUUUAGUACAACCUUUAUUAUGGUUGUUCUAACAAUCUUCCACAUGUUUCUCUUUGUAACGCUCCUUUAGGAGAUGGAUACAACCAGUCCAUGGACACAUAAAACCAGUCCAUGGUCACAUGACUAAGGUUUAGAGAGUUAGAAUGGGUGAGACUCGUGAACUUGUUUGUGACAACACAUGAGUACAUCUCCUUCUUGCUUCUACAAAACAUAUAAUAUCAAUAUAUAUAAACAUUAUUGUAAUGUAACAACAGAAAAGAAGAAACAUCAAAGACAUGUUUUGGCGUAAGAACACGAGAGUUAUACUAUGUACACUUCCUGUUAACAGUAGAAAUGAUUCGUGUCCCCAUCUCAUGUGUGUAUAAAUACCAAAGAACUCAUCCUCAUUAUCAUACACCUCUCUCCUUGUCUUUGCUUCUUUGUUCUUGAGCUUACUCAUUUGUGUCCCAUUCAUUUCAAAUGGCGCAAUUGUACUCUUCCGUGAAACCCACGCCAAUGCUGAAAGAUGAGCUAGACAUCGUGAUACCAACCAUCCGAAACCUAGAUUUCCUCGAGAUGUGGCGACCCUUCUUUGAACAAUACCAUCUGAUCAUCGUCCAAGAUGGUGAUCCUUCAAGAACCAUCAACAUUCCCAAAGGUUUCGACUACGAGCUCUACAACAGGAACGACAUUAAUCGAAUCUUGGGUCCCAAGGCAUCUUGCAUUUCCUUUAAAGACUCCGCUUGUCGUUGCUUUGGUUACAUGGUCUCCAAGAAGAAGUACAUCUACACCAUUGAUGAUGAUUGCUUUGUAAACACCUCUCUCUCUUACUAUAUCAAACGAUUAUGAUCUCAAAGUUGACAAUGACUAUGCAAUGUAGGUUGCAAAGGAUCCAUCUGGAAAAGAGAUUAAUGCGCUUGAGCAGCAUAUCAAGAACCUCUUAACUCCAUCAACACCACAUUUCUUUAACACGCUCUAUGAUCCUUAUGGUGAUGGAGCAGACUUUGUUCGUGGAUACCCUUUUAGUAUGCGUGAAGGUGCUAUAACCGCUGUCUCUCAUGGCCUUUGGCUCAACAUCCCUGACUAUGAUGCUCCUACUCAGCUUGUGAAGCCUCUUGAAAGAAACUCCAGGAAAUUUUAUCUUCCAAAUUGAAAAGCUUAAACAAUGAAGUAGUGCUUCUGUUUUGCUAAUUGGUGUUUUUGGUUAUGUGCAGGUAUGUUGAUGCUGUCAUGACCAUUCCCAAAGGAACUCUCUUCCCUAUGUGUGGUAUGAACUUAGCUUUUGAUAGGGAGCUGAUUGGUCCGGCUAUGUAUUUUGGACUUAUGGGUGAUGGGCAGCCAAUAGGACGCUACGACGACAUGUGGGCUGGUUGGUGUGUCAAGGUAAAUGCAUAGCUAGAUCCGAGGUCAUUAGCUCAACUAGAAAGGACUAUGACCAUUGUGUCAAAGGUUCUUUGAGUGACCGUUAGAACGAAACUAAUAUUACAUGUUGUUGUGCCCGAACCUCCUAAUAUUAAAAAAAAAAAAAGCUCUAGCUAGGUUGGUCAAAUGCAACUCUUAUUCAUUGGUUUUGUGUAAUGGUUGAAACACAAAUGUAGGUGAUAUGUGACCACAUGGGAUGGGGAGUGAAGACGGGUUUGCCUUACAUAUGGCACAGCAAAGCCAGCAACCCAUUUGUGAACCUGAGAAAGGAAUACAAUGGGAUCUUUUGGCAAGAAGAGGCGAUACCUUUCUUUCAAUCUCUGGCUCUUCCUAAAGAAUGCACUUCGGUGCAGCAAUGCUACAUGGAGAUGGCUAAGUUAGUGAAAGAGAAACUUGGGAAGGUGGAUCCUUACUUCAACAAGCUUGCAGAUGGAAUGGUUACUUGGAUUGAGGCUUGGGAGGAGCUUAACUCUCCAGAUGGAGCUGAGGCCAAGGCACCAAAGGGAAAAGAUGAGUAAAAGUGAAGGUCAAUGAAUAAGGAAAAAAUCAUAUCCUCUGCUUUAUUUUUAUUUUAUUUUUGCAACUGCUUUUGUUUUCUAUUACUUGUCAUCAGUAUUUGUGUUGUCAGCCCAUUAUUCUAUGUAACUUUUGCUUCUAUAUGGUUUCUAUCUAUUAAUUAUCUAUCAUUCAUGUGUUUCCUUCAAGUGUGUCAAUAGUGUGUUUGAUUUUUUGAAAACUAACUACAUUUACUAUUUAAAGUAUAUUAUAGAAAUUCGGAUACAUGUUCGGUUCUCGGUUCUGAUCCGUUUUUUUAGUUCUAGAAAUAUACGACCCGUUUAGGUAAAUUCAUAGUAUCCGAACAUGAAUCCAAACCUCAAUUCAGUUAUUCGGUUCGGAUAAAAGUGUCCAUGCAUAAUAAAACCAAUUUAAUUCAUCAGAUUCAUGAACACCAAAGUUGAUUGCAUCUACAAAGAAAUUUAAAAACCUUGUAACAUGAAAAGAUUGAAUGAAACAUAGGGCAUAAAAGAUAAGAGGAUAAAAGAAUUGGCUUCUGCAAAAACAGAGCUAGAACUUAUCAAUCUCAACGCCAUCUCUCAAAACCUCAUAAGCAUCACGUCUUCUGCUUUUCUUCACCCCUGCGUUGAAAUGGAUCUUUGACGAGUCUACCGAGAUACUUGUGACUUUCACCCAUAUCAUUACCUUUGUUUUCAUCCCUUCAACAUCAGCGAGCUUUCCUUUCUCGAGAAACCCUGUAACCGUUGUGGUGAACCUCAGAACUGAUGAAUCUUUGUAGCCGACUUCGCAGAUCGAUGGGAUGAAGACGGUUAGUUUCUUUGUAUGUUCAUUGAACUCGUAGUUGGUUGCAUCCCGUGGAAAGAUCCCAACAGGCAAACCAAACUCCUGGAGUAACUCGGGUAAUGGCUUCUGCAUUUUCCCUGUUGAGCUCUCAUCCUUGAGUGUCAGAUGGAAACAGAAGAAAAAAAAAGAAGAUAAAACUGACCUUUGAUUUUGUUCACCAACCAUUUUGUUCCUCCUUGGAUGCUGUUAGACAGAGACUGGAAGGAAACUUAGUUAUAGAUAUUUCAAGAUCAACACUUCAUUUAUUCGAACUAAUAAUAAAUAGAUCAUGCUAUUUAGAGAUUCAGAGAGCCUUGACACGCAAGAAAUCACAACGGAUCCCUAAUUGAGAAAAUCGCAAGCAUUAACAUGAUGCUUAUCAGUGAAACGAAUAUCAAAUCUGAAUAUCGUUAACAUGAUUAGAGUGAAAGGAGUAGAGUGAGGGACGAAACGUACGUUGAUAUCGUCGCCGACGGAAUCGAGCUGCUUGUUCGCCUUCUGACCUAGCCAGUAUGAUCCCACCUUGUUCAAGAUCUGAUCCAUUCUCACUCUCUCUCUGGCCGUGAUCGGAGGGAGGAAGCUUUUCUAUCAAUGAUUCAUUUCUCUUUCUUUUAUAACACUACAACAGCCAAUAAAAUCAUGACACGUAGCAAUGUGAACUCAUUUUCGUUUGGGACUAAUCUCAUAGAGUGAAGAUCACACAAUGUGUUUGGCUCGUGUAGUACCCAACACAGAGAAAACAAUGUGACAUAAACACGCUCAAUGGUUCAGUGGAGAGACACUAGCAGGUUCAAUAGUUCAAUGGAUAAACUAGAAUAAUAUUACAGGAGAAGAAGAUUCGUAAUCAAAAUUACAAAAAGGCCAACGCAAGCUAAGCAGGAAAGGUUUCUACAUCUAAGGUCACUGGUUGCUAAGCUAAAAACCAAGACUGUUCAGACAAACACAUCAAACAAAUGCACACGUGCUCUAUCUAUUGCUUGUUUAUUAUGAUGCUCCAGAUACUGUUACAUGACUCAUAGGCCGACAUCUCAUUUGUCUCUAAUUGGAACUUCUCAACUCUUUUCUCGCGAUCUACCAUAUCUAAUGAACACUUUAAAUCAAGGAUUCAAAGGAAUGAGACUCGUGAUGUAAAGAGAUGAUGAAAAAUGAAAAAAAAAAAGGAUACAGGCUGAGAUCUUGAAUGGAUCAUUAACGUCUGCUUCUGGUAUAACCUUUGUGACACACGCAUACAUAGAAAGCUUCUUCCUGCAGAGAUAAAGAGGAGUUGAGAAACCAAUAUCUACCAAUCAAUGUGGUUUGAGAACCUUACUCAGCUCUCAAGUCGUCACGCUCUUUUCUCUUUAAAGACUGCCUCUUUUCAUCAGUGGAAGCCCAUUGGGCCUUCAGGUCUUUGAGUUCAUCAGCAACGACUGUAUUGACAGAACAAAAAGACUCUUCAUGUCACUGAACCAAACGGAGUAAUAAUAACAAUAAUUUUAACUGAAGCUAAAGUAUACACUUAUUGAGGAAGAACACUCAAUACAAAAAUUAGCUAGAAUAGAUCUCAAAGUUCCAUCAAAACGACUCUUGAAGACACCAGACGGCCUAGAUUUGUUCCGGCGCGUGCGCCAGCUCCGGCUCCGUUCGUCUCUGUUUCUUUUUGCCUCCUGCCAUCUCCUUCUUCUCUCGUCGAUAUGCUCGCGACCCUGGUGAUGGAAGAUGACUGUGUCGCUCAGAUCUGGUCAAGUAGAUCUUGAUUUUGGGCUUCGUUCUUCAUCUCUGGUGAAGCGGCGAGACGAAAGAAGAUAUGGAGGUUAGGUGGGGGGUCGGCUUUUAGGCUUAGGGUCUGGAAUCCCAAAUUUUCCGUUCGUUUUGUUUAUGAAACUUGGUCGGUUUUGGACUGCUUGGAGAGGUUGGGUUUAGUGUGCUGUCUCUGUCCUUUGAAAUUAACUCUUGGUGUUGUUGAUUUUUGAGAGUCAGAGCCUUUUACGAGAUCUAUUUUAGUUUCGAAGAGAAUCAGAGGGAGAUUGAUGUUUUUAGGAGACAAUGUUCCAUUGAUGGUCGAUUGUCUCCGAUUUGUUCUUGUUUGUACUGGAUUUCGAGUGGAGUGUUUUUAUCCAGCUACCGGCUGUGUGAAUAAGACGUGUUCGGGAAGCCUUUAUUGGCUUCGCCGUGGGGUGUUAGGCGUAUGAGGCGCGUGGAGAGCACAAUCAAGGUCCAAUGGCGAGUCUUAGUUGGGAUUGAAGGGUGUGUACAGCAACGGUUAAGGACUCUAACCUCUCUCGAAUCUGUUUAUGCGUUGGUGAUGCUCGUAUGCGUCCCGUCUACCUCGAUGUUCUUCUCCUCUGGUGUUAUUUGUGGAUGUGUUCUCGUUUAGUAUGCCCGUCUUUGUUUGCAAGAUGGUGCUCUCCUCUCCUGUAGUGUUCUAUCCCUUCUUUGUUUUAGCAUAAGUUAUGUUCUUUGUUGUUGUUUUACUUUUGGUUCCGAAGGAUGUUGUUUUACCUCGUCGGCUUAUGGCUCCGGAAAGGUUUUGUUUCUUUGCCGGCUUUGUGUAAGACAUGGUUAUUCCAAUAUUAAUCCAACAGAUGACUUAAAAAAAAAAAGUAUACACUUA